CUGAUCCUCCAGGAAAGAUGGUGAGCAGGGUGCCAUUGGGGGCCCUCAGGACCACCUGACUCCAAACCACAGGACUGGUCCACGGUAGGUCAGGGAGCUGUGGGUGGGGCAGAGUGGUUGAGAGAGGACAUCUCCCCUUUUACAUCAGCUUUUUUUUAACCUUCCUUUGUCUUGAAGGUCCGGCUGCUUGUCUCACCAUUCCUGUCUCCCCUGAUCCCCCAUGGAGACAGAUUCCUUAAAGCUUCAGGGGUGCCUGGGUGGCUCAGUUGGUUAAACGUUUGACUCUUGAUCUCAGCUCAGGUCAUGAUCUCACAGUUCAUGAGUUCAAGCCCCGCAUUGGGCUUUGCGCUGACAGUGCGGAGCCUGCUUGGGAUUCCGUCUCUCCCUCUCUCUGCCCCUUCCCCACUUGCUCUCUCUCUCUCUCUCUCUCUCUCUCAAAAUAAAUAGACUUAAAAAAAAAAACAACUUCAUUUAGAAACCUUUGAGUCACCUGCCUUGACGCCAUUAAUCUUCCCUCUCUGCCCUCGCUCUCUAAACUUCCUCCACAAUACAAGUGAGUGUCUAAGGCUUCGUUUGCACAGAGAUGUUAGAAAAAUGUGUAUUUUUUUAACUUAAUAGGGAAAAUGACGUAUGAGACCUUCCAUUUGAAUCAAGAAACUGAGAGAGGCACUGUGGUUUAUGUAGGGACAAUUCCUUUGGAAGAUCCAGGCAGAAGUCAGACUGGUUUAUGAUGAAAAAGCACAAUACUAAUGUAUUCCUAGCACUUCAGGGAAAUUCAGGGAACCUCCUUCCCCCAGUCUAUCGUCUACAGAACAUAUCCCAUCAGGAGGACUAAGGUAAGGACAGUAAGGAUGGGAAAUGAGAGUUUAUGGUGUCGAUCAAGGUAGAGAAAGUGCUGCAGUUGAAUGCAGUAAUACUUUCCUUUCUCUUGGAAAGGACCUGUGCAAGAGAGGGAGGCUUGGGUCUUUCAGGGGAUUGAUGUUUAUUUCCUUCAAGAAAUACUGAGUGUUUCUUGUGUUCCAGGCAUGAUAUUAGAUAUGGAAGAUACAAGGAUGGGCAAACAGAUGUGGUUCCCGUUUUCAUGGAGCUAUCAUCAAGAGGGGUAACACUAGUAACCAAUUAAUCAUUAAAUAAAUGUGCAAAGGAAGUGGUGACGAGUGCUGGUAAGGAGAGAUCUCCAUGGGGCUAGGAGAGGCAAUAUGAGAAAGGAUUUGACCUCGUCUAAAGGGUCAUAAAAAGCUGUCCUAAAAAAGUGAUGACUGGGUUGAGGCCUGAAUGAUGAGCAAGAAUUAAGUCGAUAAAGAAGGAAGGGGAGGGAAUGAGCUGGGGGCCCUGUGGGGACCUGGUGAAGCACAAGGAGUAAGGACUCUGCAUUGGAUCAGGGAGAGUGAAGGGGAGAGGGGCUGAGGUUGGAGAGAUUCCAGGGCACAGAUCAGGGAGGACCUUGCUUGUAGACCACGUCAAGGAUUCUAAUGUUUAUCAGACAAGCAAUGGGAAGCCAUUGAAUAGUUUUAAUUGGUGAUAGCGGUCAUGAUAGUGGUGGGGGAUGUGUUCAGCUUUGUGUUGGAAAAGAUUGUUCUGGUUGCCGUGUGACUGGGUGGGGAGAGGGUAGAUUCAACGUAGAAAGAGCAGGCAGAGGGUCUUGUAGCAUCCCAGGCAAGGAAUGAUUGGGCUAAGCUGGUGGCAGUGAUGGAAAGAGACAUUGAAGAGGGAAGAUCAACAGGGCAUGGUGUGUGUGGUCCCCUUAUCACCUUCAAGCUUCCUCAAGGGUAAAUCUGACAGGAGCCCAAAGGAGCAUGCCCGUUGGUGCACGAGAGAGCACGUCAAAGCUAAAUUACAUUGAUCUGAAGCACAGAUCUUUCGAGCACUGGUGCAAGAUCCCAAGGAGCAUUUUCCAGCCCUCCUGCCUCUUCAGCAUGAGCAGGCACCGAAAAUGAAGUGUGAGGGAAGGAAGCAGGCACCCAGGUUAUUUUUAGCAAGCUAUAGGAAAUAGCCAACAUUCUAAUUUGAAUUCUUCUCAUUAAAACCCAGAGCCUAACCCCACACAGUUCUUGUUUCUAAUGUCGGCAAACUUCUCUUUUUCCAGAUAAUUGACAAUAGGCCCCCACGGAAGUCUUCUCAGCAUUUCUGCAAAAAUUUAGCAAACAUUAGGUUUGACACCAUCACCAUGUUUGCCAAGACAGCAAAAAUCCCAGCCGGCAAAACUUCGAGCGUGAUGAAGUGGAACAGAGAGGACAGCGCGGAAUGAGUGAUCAUUUCAGGAAAUCUUCUAGCAAGAGUUUCCAGUGUUGGGAUUUCGCAUCGUCUUUGCAGGAAGAGCGGUACGGAAGGUCCACUCUGGGGCCAGGCUGCGGUGAUGUAGGUGGGUUUGCUCCUCUUUCUUUCCCACCUUCCCUCCCUAUCCUCGAGUCGUUCCCGGAAUUAAAAUUAUGUUUUAAUAUUUUCAUUUGAUAACAACAGAAACGUUUUUUAUUCGACAAGUUUACCUGGUAUAGUCAGCGUCUGAAUGAUGGCUGAGCUGGUCUUUAGAUUGGUGUGGCAGGCCUUCCACCUGCUUGACCUGGGACGUGUUAUUUAGCUUCUUUGGGUCUGGAUUUCCCCACAUGAGACGUGAAGAGGUGUUAUACUAGCUCAGCACUUCCCCAGCCUCAGUCAUUCGGGUGUCGCCUUCAUAAUAUUCUCCAUGUUGUUUUUUUUUUUAACAUUUUUUCUUCUAAAUUGAUUCAUUUGUUUACUUAAGUCUUUUUUUUAAAACAACAACAACAAAGUCUUGGCAAUAAUAUAUGUGAAAUCGUGGAACUAAAGUGAUGAUAACCUUUUUUCUAAUACACAUAAAUAAGCACAUAUUUAAAAUAAAAUGGGGUUUUUUUUUGCAUAUAUCUAUGUGAAAUCAACCUACACUCCUCCAUGAUGAUAUAUGUAGACCCCGCUCUAGGAAACUCUAGACAAGCCAGAUUCUAAGCUCUCGUGCAGUGCUAACAUACUGUUGUUCACAUCUGGCCUUACCUACCCCGCCUGGUUUCCCAUAGCUUCCUAAAAUAAAACCCUAAGCAUGGCCAAAUCAAUGUCCCUGUUACUCCUUGUAGACAGUAUGUGCAAGCUAUUCCCUUCAUCUAGAAUCAAUAAUUUACUAAGGAAAGAGAAACCAUGACCUAAGUAAGAAAGAGCAAAUUGGGGAAGUACAUGAUGGGGUCAAAAGCUACCCUUGACCAGUAAGCCAAGAAAAUCCUUAGAGUUGGUUGGCAGUUGGUGGGUGAAGGUCAAGAGUAAAAAGUUGAGGGUUUGGUCCUUUAUGGGCUAUUUGUUUUCCUUGAAGAAGAGGUUUACCCACUUACAGGACAAAUUUACUGGACAAAGUUUUUUUUAAAUGUUUAUUUCUGAGGGGGGUGGGAAGGAGAGAAAAAGAGGGAAUGAGGGGAGAGGAGCAGAGCGAAAGGGAGACAGAGUAUCUGAAGUGGGCUCUACACUGACAGCAGAGAGCCUAACAUGGGGCUCAAACUCACAAACUGUGAGAUCAUGACCUGAGUUGAAGUCAGACCCUUAAUGGGCUGAGCCACCCAGGCGCCCCUGGACAAAGUUUUGAGUGCUCCCUGAAGGUCUUCAACCUUAUCUAACAUACAAAAGAAGAUCUACUUGGGGAGUAAUCAUUAUUUGAUACAGAAAUGUAUUAAUUCACUUAUUUAUAAUGCAUUUUGUGUUAAAAAAAUGCAUGAUGUGUUUCCUCCAUGCUAGGCAUUGAACAUACAAAGGCUAUUAAGAUAUUUCUCUAUCCUCUAGGAGCUCAGGUUUUGCUGGAGACGGAACAUGAAUGGGUGGGCCUGGUAAGGCAUUGCGGACCUCCAAAGUAUAUCCAGGGUACAAUGUGCCUCAGGACGGGUAGUGUCAGUUCUGUUGGAUCAGGCAGAACUUCCUAAGGGAUGUAACUUGAUUUCUAAGCCAGCGUUGGUUGGGGGGGUGGCCCAGUGGGGAUGGAAUGCCCUCCCAGGGACUAUAAACAGUUAUAAGAUUUUCUGGCAUAUUCAGAAAACGGAAUGCAAUUUAGUAGGGGUGGAACCUACAGUUGCCUGUGUGUGUGUGUGUGUGUGUGUGUGUGUGUGUGUAAGAGAGAGAGAAAGAGAAACAGAGUGGUUGACUCCAGCGGUCGUACUUCUCUAUUCAAGAAGGAACUGUUAGAGACUUCAAUGCAAGUGGGAGCUAUGUCCAGAGCUGCAUGCUGGAAUCUCACUCAGGUGCUCACAUGGUGGAUAAUUGGAUAGGGACAAGUUCCCAAGCCAUAGGCAGAGACCCAUUAAAACACUAUUCUAAGGGUCCGGGAGAAAGAUGAUGAGGGCAGCAGUGGUGAGAGAGAGAGAGUAGGGACAGCUUUGAGAGUCAGUGUGAAGGAUGGGCUGAUGAGAACGGGAGAUGCCUAGGAAGGGGUCAAGGUUGCCAGCUUGCUGAUUGGCUAGUGGUGCCAUUCUCACCGUGGGGACCCAGCAGGAAAGAAGCAAUCUGGGGAAAUAUGUAUUUCUUUUGGAACUGGACCCCUCGGGGCCUGCAUGGCAAAGUGAUUGGGUAUGGAGCCCUGACACCUCAGUUAUUUUCCUAGCUCUGUUCCUAUGACCCUGUUUCGACUUCUCACCAUUUCUGGUGUCUGUCCCUAAGACGUAUGGCCCGCUCUGGCUUGAUUUCAGGUCUUGAGGAAAAGAAAAGAAAAAAAAAAAUAUGUGAAAGCGCUUCCUAAAUGUCUUCACAAAUGUAAAUAUUUCUGUCUCCAAGGAAGCGCAAGGUGUAAAAAGCAGAGUCAUCAGCACAUUUAGCUCAUAAAUGGGCAGAGUAUGUGACUCCUUUGCAUCAUGACAGAGCACACAGCAGAGACGUCUCUACAGAAUUGACAACAUUACUGCUUACCCUUUGGCCAAGAUGGCCUAGUUUCUAUGAGACGAAAGGUAUCACUUUGCUUUGCAACGUGCCAAUUCACCGGACACUACAUCUCUUCGUUUUUUUCCUAAAUCUUAUGAAGUCAUUUUUCCAUUCCCACUUGCUAGGUUGGGCAAAACAUCCAUCGUCAGCCAUAAUGAGGAUUCCUGUUGGAUCACAUACAAAGCCUGUUUUUCACGAGUGAGAUUUAAGACAUGUAUGUCCACUCACGAGUGGAGUGAGCGACGUUUACACAGCAUUGGUUUGCAACCGUCUUGGGAGCUUUCCUGGUAAAAUCUGAAACUGGCCUCUGUACUCAGAAGGGAGGGAGAGACCAAAGAAAGAGGCAGGCCAUCACGGGUAGGUGGGUGGCAAUCUCAAUAACAGCGACGGAAGCUUACAUGUGAGACAAAUGGAUCCCUGCACCUGCCCACCCAAUCUUAAAAUGUUAUAAAGGGGCCUUCACUGGGUUCAGUCACAUAUACUGGGCAGGUGUUCUCAAUACCAUAUCACUAUCUUAAGGCUACGUCCUUGAAGUAGCCUCUGGGAGUGGGAAAGGCAAGCAGGAUGCAUAUUCCCAGGACAGAGGAAGGAGUGAGGAGCCUCCAAUUGGCGGUCAUGUCCUUCCGAUGACGUUCCCAACACACAGGUAACUAACCAUCCUUGCAUGAACAGGGUAACCUAAUUGUCCUAGGUUUAGGAAACCCCAUCACUAACCUGCUAGUUCAGACCAAGGGCUUUGCAAUCUGUCGCCCCUAGGGCUGAGGAGGCUGAGGUGCUGAUUGAUCUGUGCUGGUGGUUAACAUGCCCAAGACAGCUCAGCAGCAUUAUCAUCCAGACCAAAAGAAAUUUGGGAAUUACCUUUAAUUACUGUUGUGGUCCCAGUUUGCUGUGCGGUAAGCAUGCUUCUUAUAAAUAAGGAAAGUUGAGAUAUCAACAGUGUGGCGAAGGUCGGUAUGGAAGACAAACCUCAGCACGGAACCACUGAGGGUGGGGGCUGGUGAGGAGGGCUGAUGGUUGAGUGUGCACGAUGCAGCUGAGGUCUACUGCAGAGAAAGGGGGGACAUGAAGACUUCCUCAGGCAAGGAGGUCAGAAUGGAGAGAAAUAGGAAUAAGAAGGCAUUUUGAGUUAAUUGAAAAGAACUCCGAGAUAUUUCUUAUAAAUCGUUCUCAUGAAUGGAGAAAAGAUCAACUUGGGGCAACCACUCUUAGAAUAGCGUUUCUGGUCAGGGUAUUUUAAAUGUUAACUCACCUCCCGGGAGGAGAGAAAAGCCGCCUCUUAGAGCGAUAUCCCACUGGUGGUGUGUGAGAGGAUGGCUGGACUUAAACAUCUGAAUACUCUUCUAUUUUAAUAGUUGCGUGUUUAUUUGAUGACUCUCAUUAUCUUUGGCAAGUCAUUAUACUUUUCUAUUUGAGGCAGUGGCACAACACUUUCUGUUAAAAUAAAUUUGAGGGAGGAGGGGCACCUGGGUGGCUCAGUCGGUUAAGCGUCUGACUCUUGAUCUCAGCUUAGGUCUUGAUCUCACAGUCGUGAGGUCAGGUCCUGUGUUGGGCUCCACUCUGGGCAUGGAGCCUACUUACAAAAUAACAUAAAAUAAAAUACAUUUGAGGGGGAAAAGUGAACUGAUUUAAGGAAAAAUUAUUUAUUAAAAGAAACAGGAGAGAGAGUAUGGAAAAAAUAGAAAGGCAGUAUUAGAAUGACCAAAACUUGGGAGAACAUCAAAAGUUGUGCUCCAUUUGGGUGGAGAAGCAGAAAAGAAAGGAAAUAAUUACCUAGUUUGUAAUGGCCCAUGGGUAAUUUUGCAACCAGUUUACCUCAUCACAUGGGCUUUUUUCUCAUGAAGAUUAUUCUCUGAAAAUGCAAAAAAAUCCAAGGAGAGAGUCAUAUCUUAACAUAUGAUAAACAGGGUUUUUUCUUAAGUUUAUUUAUUUUUGAGAGAGAGACAGAGCACAAGGGGAGGGUCAGAGAGAGAGGGAGACACAGAAUCCGAAGCAGGCCCCAGGGUCAGAGCUGUCAGCACAGAGCCCGACGUGGGGCUCAAACUCACGAACUGCGAGAUCAUACCUGAGCCGAAGUCGGACGCUUAACCGACUGAGCCACCCAGGCGCCCUGGUAAGCAGGGUUUUUUUUUAAUGAUGUGGCUACACUUGGACCUGGACACGUCUGGAAGGGGGAAGGAGAUUCCCCCUGCAGUGGGGCUGCAGGGGGAGGUUAGGGGGAGCCCACCCCAAGACAGUUCACCAGCCUUACGAUUUCAUCCAACUCUUGAGUAGAGAGCGUCCUUGGGUGGUAACAGUGCAGUGACAGACAAGUGGGUUGAAUUAAAAGGUUCUGAAGGUUUAAUUUUAAUGUGAUGAUGAGGGUAGUGUAUGUAUGUAGGCCCCGCAGCUCCUAGAACAGUGCUCUGCACAUACACGUUAAGUAGCUGCUAAAUGGGAGCAUAAUUGCACAAUAUUUUACAUUGGCUUGCAAAAGAGGAGAAAGUGGUCAGGUUGGAAGUGAUAGAUAACUGAGUUCAUAUCGCAUUUCUGCCCUUUACAUGCUGUGUAGCCUUGGGUAAAUUACUUAACCUUUCUGAAUCUCGUCUAUCAAAUGGAGCUAAUCAGUGGUGCACUGUACAUGUUCUACAACUGGCUCACCAGGAAAAAGGAAAGCUCUGCUUUGUAGCACUUGCUGAUUUCCGUAGUGUCAAUAUUCACCAUCAAGCUAACAACCAUUUCACAGCUAGCUGGCAAAAUUCCUGCCAAUCUACAAAUCAGUUCUCAGAAACCCCCAGAUACAGUUCACCACUGGAGGUCACGAUUCCAACCUCACACGGGUGCCAGUCAUUCUUGGAGCACUUACUACCUGCUAAUAAGCACUGCACUUGGGUGGUCUCAUCUAGUUUUUCUUCAAUGUUUGUUUAUUUUUGAGAGACAGAGAGAGACAGAGCGUGAGCAGGGGAGGGGCAGAGAGAGAGGGAGACACAGAAUCCAANNNNNNNNNNNNNNNNNNNNNNNNNNNNNNNNNNNNNNNNNNNNNNNNNNNNNNNNNNNNNNNNNNNNNNNNNNNNNNNNNNNNNNNNNNNNNNNNNNNNNNNNNNNNNNNNNNNNNNNNNNNNNNNNNNNNNNNNNNNNNNNNNNNNNNNNNNNNNNNNNNNNNNNNNNNNNNNNNNNNNNNNNNNNNNNNNNNNNNNNNNNNNNNNNNNNNNNNNNNNNNNNNNNNNNNNNNNNNNNNNNNNNNNNNNNNNNNNNNNNNNNNNNNNNNNNNNNNNNNNNNNNNNNNNNNNNNNNNNNNNNNNNNNNNNUUGGAUUCUGUGUCUCCCUCUCUCUCUGCCCCUCCCCUGCUCACGCUCUGUGUCUCUCUCUCUCAAAAAUAAACAUUUAAAAAAAUUAAUAAAAACUAAUGAUUUCAAAAGUAGAAUUUAGUGACUCAUCACUUACAUAUGACACCCAGUGCUCAUCCCAACAAGUGCUCUCCUUAAUGUCCAUCACCCAUUUAGCCCAUCCCCCAACCCAAGACCCCUCCAGCAACCCUCAGUUUGUUCUCUGUAUUUAAGAAUCUCUUACGGUUUUCCUCCUUCUCUCUCUUUAUCUUGUUUUUCCUUCCCUUCCCCUAUGUUCAUCUGUUUUGUUUCUUAAAUUCCACAUCUGAGUGAAAUCAUUCGAUAUUUUUCUUUCUCUGACUUAUUUCACUUAGCAUAAUCUCUAAGUUCCAACCACAUUGUUGCAUAUGGCAAGAUUUCAUUCUUUCUAAUUGCUGAGUAAUAUUCCAUUGUAUGUAUAUACCACAACUUCUUUAUUCAUUUGUCAGUCAAUGGACAUUUGGGCUCUUUCCAUAAUUUGGGUAUUGUUGAUCGUUCUGCUAUAAACAUUGGGGUGCAUGUUACCCUUUGAAUCAGCAUUUUUGUAUCCUUUGGAUAAAUACCUAGUAGUGCAAUUGCUGGGUUAUAGGAUAGCUCUAUUUUUAAUUUUUUGAGGAAACUCCAUACUGUUUUGUAAAGUGGCUGCACCAGUUUGCAUUCCCACCAGUAGUGUAAGAGGGUUGCCCUUUCUCUGCAACCUUACCAACACCUGUCGUUUCCUCAGUUGUUAAUUUUAGCCAUUUUGACAGGUGUUAGGUAGUAUCUCAUAUUGGUUUUGAUUUGUACUUCCCUGAUGAUGAGUGAUGUUGAGCAUCUUUUCAUGUCUUUUGCUCAUUUCUUCAUGGGAUUAUUUGUUUUUUGGGUGUUGAGUUGGUAAGUUCCUUUUUUUAAAAAAAAUUUUUAAUGUUUAUUUAUUCUUGAGAGAGAGACAUACAGAGACAGAGUGUGACUGGGGAAGGGUCAGAGAGAGAGGGAGUCACAGAAUCUGAAACAGGUUCCAGGCUCUAAGCUGUCAGCACAGAGCCUGAUGUGGCCUGUGAGGUCAUGACCUGAGCCAAAGUCAGAUGCUUAACUGACUGAGCCACCCAGGUGCCCCAACUUUGAUAAGUUAUUUAUAGAUUUUGGAUACUAACCCUUUAUCUGAUAUGUCAUUUGCAAAUAUCUUCUCCCAUUCUGUCAGUUGCCUUUUAGUUUUGUUGCUUGUUUCCUUCACUGUGCAGAAGCUUUUUAUCUCAAUGAGGUCUCAAUAGUUCAUUUUUUGCUUUUGUUUCCCUUGUCUCUGGAGGCAUGUCUAGCAGGAAUUUGCUGCAACAGAGGUCAAAGAGGUUGUUGCCUGUUUUCUCCUCUAGGAUUUUGAUGGCUUCCUGUCUUACAUUUAGGUCUGUCAUCCAUUUUGAGUUUAUUUUUGUGUAUGGUGUAAGAAAGCGGUCCAGGUUCAUUCUUCUGCACGUCGCUGUCCAGUUUUCCCAGCACCACUUGCUGAAGAGACUGUCUUUAUUCCAUUGGAUAUUCUUUCCUGCUUUGUCAAAGAUUAGUUGGCGAUACGUUUGUGGGUCCAUUUCUGGGUUCUCUAUUCUUUUUUUUAAUUUAUUUUAAUGUUUUUAUUUAUUUUUGAGAGAGAAAGAGAGAGAGCACAAGUGGGAGAGAGGCAGAGAGAGAGGGAGACACAGAAUCCGAAACAGACUCCAGGCUCUGAGCUGUCGGCACAGAGCCUGAUGUGGGGCUUGAACUCAUGAACCAUGAGAUCAUGACCUGAGCCGAAAUUGGACACUUAACGGACUGAGCCACCCAGGUGCCCCUCUGGGUUCUCUAUUCUGUUCCAUUUGUCUUUGUGUCUGUUCUGACGGUGCAGAGCCUGAUGUGGGGCUCAAUCCCAUGAACUGCAAGGUCAUGACCUGAGCCGAAAUCAAGAGUUGGAUGCUCACCUGACUGAGCCAGCCAGGUGUCCUCCAGAAAGAGAGCUUUGUAGUGAUUUACCAGCAAAGCGAGAGCUUCUUCCUUCCCUGCUCUCUCUGCUGUUGGCCUAUCACACAAUGAACAACACAGAUGUUUCUAAGAAUUUGAUAUCCAGCUAUUCGUUAAAUGUAUAAUAUUUGGAACUAAACUGAUCCAUUACUAUACAUUUUGUGCUAGAAGAGUAUGAAAUUCUUCCUUCAGAGAACUUGGGUUGGAGGAAGUUGGGCUGGGGGAUUUGGCUAAGUAGACAGGGCCUCCUACCCAGAUGUCAUUCUCCUCCUAUAUCUGCCUUUCUGGCAGAGCCAGCUGCAUGAGAUGCUGGAAGCCACCACCAGGAACUUUCUUACAGGGAAGGUGGUCAUGUAAUCUACCCGGUUCUGGCCAAUGAGACUUAAGGAAGCGUGGUCAGAGGCUUCAGCAAUUUUCUUUGUUGAACAAAGCAGAGACAUGGGGAAAAAAAGUUCCAUGUCUCCCUACCUGCUUUUUGACAUUACUCUCCGGGGAUGACAGAUUUUGGGUCUAAUUAGAUGGAUGGCCUGGAAGUAUCUACCUACUUAUUUCCUGUUAGGUAAAGAUAAAGAAAUAGCCUUACUGGUUAGAGCCUGUUACCUAUGCAUGAUGUGAUUUGCAGCCCCAAACAUCCUAUACCAAUAAUUAAAAUGGAUUUUCAAGUUUACCUGCUUGAAUUGAACUAUUAGAACGUGUGGUUACCAAAACACCACUGUGUCGGUGAGAAAGCUUUCUGCGGCAAGUAAUUCCAAGUCCUGACUCCUGCUGGCUCAGCAGAGGGAGGUUUAUUACCUUGUGUAACAGGGAUAACAGAGUGGGGCAGGCCCCCCGGUGGUACACAUACCCUGGCUGUCCUUCUCUGAGUCUCUCCCGUCCCAUUCUCCUUGUGGGUGGGUUUGGUCCUCAGGCCAGUUGACUGCCAAGUUUUAGGCCCAGGGGAAGAAGGGGGAUUGUCUAUUCCUGUGUUUCUUCGGAGAAACGAGGAGAGGUUCUUUGUCAGCCAUGAUCCAUAUUUAUCCUUUCCUAAGUCAGUCGUUGGCAAUGGGAGUUGGGUUCCUACAAUCCUUCGGGACUACCUUCAAUGGGCUAGGGGGUGGAGGGGAAGAAUGUAAGAAAACCCACACAAGGACCAACUCCACUUUUCUUAUCUUUUUGCUUCUUGGAGAUUUUUCAUGGGCUCUGGUGAGCUUGUUUUCCACUCUGGGAACCCUAACUGAUCAUAUUUUUUUUUUUUUUCUCUUCUAGCUUGGCUUUGAGCCUUCACUCACUCAGUUGCCUCCUAGCUGACAAGGGUUUCUUUCCUUUUACCAGUUGGUUUCUCUUAAAAGAAUCAAUUCUUUUUGUUUCUGGGUCCCUAAGGCCCCGAUUAUAAAACAGGUGUUGUAUUUUAAAACACAAUGUGAUACCAAUGUCUUCACAGGAAAAAAAAAAGAAUCUAGACAUACGCGCUAGUGUUUUUAGAGUUAAAAAUGUUUCACUUGCAUUUGUUCUGCUUGAACAUAUCUUUACGCUCACAAAGAAAACAGGUACCACGCCUUUAAGAGUAGCUCCCUGUCAGAUUUUAAAAUUGAUACAAAGUUACUUGAGGAAUAAGAGCAAUAAAACGUGAAGCGACUUUUAUCUGACGACAACGUGGGGAUUCAACUUGGAGGAGAUAAGUUAGUAGAGGAGAGAAAUGUGAGGUUUACACCCUUUCCUCAUUUGAUGGAAGAAGCCCUGGUCUUCUAUUACCCCUCACGGCACCUUCACUUGUAUUCAUGUGUAUCGGAUUAACCACCAAAGACUUGUUUUGUACCUGGUUUCUGCUGCUUUUAGUCAGAGAGAUACCUGUGAAUCCCUUGUGUGAAUUGUGAGCCAGCUGUAGCUGUUUCGGCCAUUGUUAUGAGACUACCCAGAACCCCAUUCCUCCCUUCAUCCACCCUAAUAGGACCUGUGUCCACCCUCCCGUAUAGCCUGUGCUACUGGGAGAAUCUGAUGCCACUCUUGACUUUCAGGUGGGAUUGAAGCAGUCAGCACGUCUGCCAUCAUUGGUUCAGGGGCAGACAUGUGAUGGGCAGAGUCCAAUCAGGGUGAAUCUCAAGAUUUGGUUGCUUAGAAUGUCACAGCAGGCACAUUCUGUCUCCUUCUGCGGUGUGUGGGUGUGUGUUCAGUGCUGCUCACACCAUGGAAGGUCAAGCAGAGACACUGAAAACAAAACAAAACAAAAGCAGAUGGAAAGAAACUGAAUCAAGCCAGGCCUGAGGCCUGACCCGGCUCUGGACCUUCCAGUGACAUGGGCCAAGAAAUCUUUCUUGUUGAUUGAGUUUUCCAUUAGCCACUUAAAGGGCCCUGCAGAUGGAAGAAGCUGCCCUCAAGAAAUUUCUGGUAAAUAGGCCUCUGAGUUUUCCUCAAGGCAAACAAGUUUUAUUGCUCAAGAAAGGAGGGGGAAACGAAUCCUUUGUGUUUUGAGCACUGGGAAGAAAAUUAGCCUGAUUUCAAGUGUAUUGCCGCAGGCCUGGGAGACAGCCAUGUUGUAGGAAUUCUCCGGAGGCUGAGCCUAUAACAGCACUCCAACCGGUCUUAAGGGUUAACUUGCUUCAAGCUUACCCGCUCUGGCUUUCUGACCUUACUCCCUUGAUCUGUAGCAGAACUAACUGACUUUCUUUGAGAUUUGCAGGCCACUGGCCUUGAGGCGUGAAGGACUCAACUCUCCCAGAAGAUAAAGCCUGACUACAACUCAAAAACAGCUGCCGCUGAUGCGGGCAAGUCUGUUCCGGGUCAUGGGUCAUGGCGACGUACGACUGACCACCUGGGCACCCGCUUCUCUUGCAUGUAGCCCCCCCUCCCUGUUCCCACGCCUUCAUCUUUAAAGCCCUCUGGUUUCCCCCCAGGAUGAGGAAGAGGGUCUUUGAGGCAUUCGCCCGCCAUCUUCCUAGGUUGCCAGCUUCCUGCAUAAAGCAAACUUUCCUUUCCCACCACCACUUGUCCUUUGAAUAUCGAUUUUUGAGUGGUGAGCAGCUGAACCUGAGUUUGGAGCCAGUUCUCUGGUAAUAGGCCCACACAUUUAGGCACAGCACCGCUGUGGUGUGGGGUCUCUCAUGGACCUCGCAGAGCAGGCCCCUGAAGGAACUAGGUAAUUAAGGUGUCGAAGGCUGGGACAAGCCUGGCAGGAUGGCCAUGGAGGCACCUGCCGGCCCGCUCAGGAGGCUGGUCUGUGUCUUGGGUCAGCAGGGCAGGGCAAAGAGGGAGGACCAGUGAUCCACAGUCACGCUGUUUGUUAAAAUGUAGAUUCUCAGGACAUAGCCACUAAAGCCACUGAGUCAGGAUCUGGGAACAGGCAUUUCGAGAAGCAUCCCAGCUUAUUUUUAGGUGAGUACCAUUGAGAACCCAUGCCUGAAGCGUGUGCAGGGGAUUAAGCGGAGGAAUCUCAGUUCAGUUGUCCCCUCCAGGCAGGAAAAUGGUGAAAAUAGGCGGCAAGAAAGCCCAGGGUCAGGUUCCAGCCAAUCCAGAAAUAGGAUGCCCUAGGUGGUCAGGUUGGGAGGUAUGCCCCUGGGUCAGGCCUAACAUCCAGAGCCAGGAUGAAUCUUCAAGUAGUUUAGAGCUAAUUACCAAUGCUUCUGGCAUCACGACAAUCUUCAGUGCUACAAAUGGCCUUAGACACGUAUCGGAUUGUCCUGCCAGCUUUGAUGUGUGGAGAUGUGGGGUUGUGGGCAAGUAGACCCUGAUGCUGUCAGAGCACCCCUCGCCUGUGUCAGGGGUCACAUAGUCCAAGUGAUAGGCCUCAUCACAGAGAGGCUGCUGGGUUGAUGUCACACACCCUCUUCUCCUGCCUCUGCUUUCAAAAGUAUACAUUAUAUGGGCAUCUGGGUGGCUCAGUCUGUUAAGUGUCCGGCUUUUGAUUUCGACUCAGGUCAUGAUCUCAUGGUUUGUGAGUUCAAGCCCUGCAUCAGACUCCACAUGGAUAAUGUGGAGCCUGCUUGGGAUUCUCUCUCCUCUGUCCCCUCCCUCUCUUCUCUGCCCCUCCCCAACUUGUGGGCGUGUGCUCUCUCCCUCAAUAAAUAAACUUCAAAAAAUUCAUUAAAAAAAGAAUACAUUAUAGCAGCUUGGCAGGGAAGAGAUUUUCAGUACCACUCUACAAAUGGGGACAGAAGUACUGAAUGAUUAGACUUCACCAAGGUCAAGCAACAGGGAUUUGGGAGAAAUGGAAACCACAGUGGUUUCUACCUGUGACCGGGGGAGCCCUCAUGGUCAAUAGAAGUCAUGGCCUGGGCAGCAGACCCCCAUGUGGCCCAGCUGUUCCUUCUAUUAUUAUUUUAGUUCUGAGUGUUCUUCAGCUAAAAAAGCAAUACCAAUCAAACAAGUGCAAAAACUCUGAAAAGCGCCAUGAGGAAGAAAGCAGGGCAGGAACCGGGAGAGCUGAGUUCUGUUCCAGCUGUAAUCUUUGCUCAGUGCUUCCUGCUUCUCUCUGGACCCAUUUCCUCAUCUGCAGAAUAAGCUGCAGCCUCACUGCAGAUGUUAGCACGCGGGACUUCUAAGGUCAGGUGUCUUCUUGUCAAUUCCAGCCUCUCUCAUAGAAGGCCAACUUGGAAAACGCUUUAACUGAACGCUGUGUGGUGUGGUUCUUAGAUUUUGCAGCUUGACUCUCUCCCAUUUGGGAAACCCGUCUCGUGUUUACCAACACAGUGCAAUUAAAGAAUGAGGCUGCACUCACCGUUUACAGGCUUGUUUCCAUUUUUUCCAUUUGCGACACUAAAUCAGUUGCUGAGCCCUGAUCCCAUGAAAGGAUUAGCUAAUAGAUUCCUUCUCUUAAUUUCCCCUGAUUUUAGAGGUCUCCCAAGAGAAAGAAAAUGCAUAGUUUAUUGGGAUGGGGUUUUACUGCCGAAAUCUUUUACUUUUUAAUUGCAAGGAAAGAGAUACAAACAGACCUGGUUUACCCAAAAUAAUUUUGUGUUCCCAUUUGAGUUUGAUAUAGUAGUUAAAAAAAAUCUCCUACUUAAAAAUACUCUCUCGGGAUAAAUAUUUAUGUGUGUAUAUUUUCUUAAACCUUGAUCUUUUUCCAUUACGUAAAAUAGUUUUCAUUCCUGGUAUGCAAUUCUAUUAAACAACCUAUCAUCUCAAAACUAAGCAUGCUACUAAUUUCCCUGGGGAUUAGUUUUUAAUCUUCAUUUUAGCCAAUUGUUCUAUUUCUUAGAGAUAAUACGAUUUUAUUGCGUUUUAAGAUAUAUAUUUAAACAAAAGGCAAAUAUUAUACGUGGUAAGUGGGAAUGGGGUUGGGUUACUAUGAUAAAGGUUUGUUUGAAACCUACCUGAGGUACAGGACAGCUCUGGCUUCCAGACAGUUACAUUUAAAGUAUUCAAUUUCUGGGCACCUGGGUGGCUCAGUCUGUUAAGUGGCCAACUUUGGCUCAGGUCAUGAUCUCGCGUUUUGUGAGUUCGAGCCCCUUGUCAGGCUCUGUGCUGACAGCUCAGAGCCUGGAGCCUGCUUUGGAUUCUGUGUCUCCCUCUCUCUCUGCCUCUCCCCUACUCUCAUUCUGUCUCUCUCUCCCAAAAAUUAAUAAACAUUAAAAAAUAUAUAAAAUAAAGUAUUCCAUUUCUUCUCCUCUUCUUGGUUAAAGAAUAAUUUUUCUUUUCCCCAGAAAAGGAGGUUCCUAACAAAAUUACACGUGACCCACCCCAGUGCUGGGGAUAAAUAGGAAAGAGACAAGGACCCAUUUCCUUUGUGGUUGUGCUCCCAGAGAAGGUUGGGGAACUCCAGAUAUGGAGUGGAUUCUGUCAUCUGUGGCUUGUAAAUCCUCCAGAGUUGCUCCCAACUUCACAGCUGAGCCUCAGAAGUGGAGAAGAAUGAGGGCUGGUUCUUCCCUUCGCUUGUCCCGAUUUUUCUAGGGGGGUUUUCCAGGGGCUAAGGCAGGCCCUCUUCGCCUCCUCUCUAGGGCGGGAGUCCUCGAACCCUAAGCUGUAUCUGAACCACCCGAAUUAAUCAGAGUGCGUGGUACCUCACUGAUUUUUAGCCCCAUUGUAUGUUUCUGAUUCAACAGAAUUUUAGGGAUGAGAAACCAGAGUUUUAACCUGCAUGUCACCAAGAUGUACAUGCGUUAGUGAAGUUUAGUGAACAGAUAAGCAGGCAGUUAGUUAAUAUUUGAAGUAUCCUAGUCAGUAGUGCCUAAUUCUAGGAGUAGUUAGGGAGUUUCUAGAGACUCUCAUCUGAAGCUCGUGUGUGUGAAGGGGUGGGCUUACUAAACACGGUAAGCUAAACAUGGCUUCAGUUAUCCACAUCCCAUCAACACCAGAGGAUUUGUUCAUUAGCACAAUGCACAUCAGAAAUAUUUUUCAUGGGUGAAAUCAGUGGCACCCAAAGUACAUAGCAAGGCCAGAAAUAUGGCACAGGUAGCGCACCUUUGCAUGAACAGGAUGAAUUAAUUGUUCUAGGUUUAGGAAAACCCAUAACACCUGCUAGUUCAGACCAAGGGCUUUGCAAUCUGUCGCCCCUAGGGCUGAGGAGAAUGGGAGGCUGAGGUGCUGAUUGAUCUGUGCUGGUGGUUAACAUGCCCAAGACAGCUCAGCAGCAUUAUCAUCCAGACCAAAAGAAAUUUGGGAAUUACCUUUAAUUACUGUUGUGGUCCCAGUUUGCUGUGCGGUAAGCAUGCUUCUUAUAAAUAAGGAAAGUUGAGAUAUCAACAGUGUGGCGAAGGUCGGUAUGGAAGACAAACCUCAGCACGGAACCACUGAGGGUGGGGGCUGGUGAGGAGGGCUGAUGGUUGAGUGUGCACGAUGCAGCUGAGGUCUACUGCAGAGAAAGGGGGGACAUGAAGACUUCCUCAGGCAAGGAGGUCAGAAUGGAGAGAAAUAGGAAUAAGAAGGCAUUUUGUUUUUGUUGUUGUUUUUUUUUUAAAUUUUUUUUUUAACGUUUAUUUAUUUUUGGGACAGAGAGAGACAGAGCAUGAACGGGGGAGGGGCAGAGAGAGAGGGAGACACAGAAUCGGAAACAGGCUCCAGGCUCUGAGCCAUCAGCCCAGAGCCCGACGCGGGGCUCGAACUCACGGACCGCGAGAUCGUGACCUGAGCUGAAGUUGGACGUUCAACCGACUGAGCCACCCAGUUGCCCCAUAAGAAGGCAUUUUGAGUUAAUUGAAAAGAACUCCGAGAUAUUUCUUAUAAAUCGUUCUCAUGAGUGGAGAAAAGAUCAACUUGGAGCAACCGCUCUUAGAAUAGCGUUUCUGGUCAGGGUAUUUUAAAUGCUAAUUACUUGCUUGGAUGUAUAUUAAAUACGAGCAAGUAAAUACCAAUGGACACACUUAUAUCUCACUGAGAUGCAGGUUAAAAUCCCUUAGUUCCUGGUGCUCCAGCUGGAAGCCUCAUAAGAAAGACUAGAACAGUGAUUUUCAGGGGGAGGGGAAGGCCGGGCCAUGGGUUUGUAUCAGGACAUGUGCGUGUGUAUGAGUAUGUGUAAUUAACACAAACCACAUGCUUGGAGAAGUCUUCCAAUCUUGAACCUGCUUUGCUGUCUGCAGACGCUGUCACUGCUACAGGAAAUUCUCGAGGUUCCAUGACUUUAAAUUCCACCUAUUAAAAAAAAAAUGUUUAUUUAUUUAUUUUUGAGAAAGAGAGAGCGAGUGCAUGCACGCAGGGGCAGGGGGAAGGGCCGAGAGACAGUGAGACAGAAAAUCCCAAGCAGGCUCAGGCUGCCUCAGUCAGCACAGAGCCCGACACUCUGGAACACAGCCUGGAACUCACCAACUGUGAGAUCGUGACCUCACCCCUGAUCAGAAAUCAAGAGUCGGUUCCUUAAUGGACUAAGCCACCCAGGUGCCCCUAAAUUCCACCUAUUUUUACGUCCAUACCCCCGAUCCCCCAAAGUACCGCAGAAGCCCUCAGCAGAUUAUCCAUCAAGUCUCAUUGGUCAUAACUCUACAACAUAGCCACAGAAAUGGAACUAGCAUGAGUAGUUUAGUCUAAUAAAGAUCCACUCUGGUGGAAGUGGUAUUAGGUCUUCUUAGUUAUAGCUGCCAGAAGGUGGGUGGGGAAGUCAGCAAAGAAGAAGGAGAGAGUAGAGGAGGGGUCAAGGAUGGGUAUGGCUUGGGAAUGGGUUUGGUAGACAACCGUGUCUGUUACGGUCUAUUUUUAUGUUCUAUCUAUCAGUAAAGUUCAAGUGAGUCAUGGCCUCCUGGGAGAAUAGCAUAUCAGAAGCGUGAUACUUAUCAAAAGAACAGCUGGUAUGGAUAAACAAAAUGUGGCAUAUCCAUAUAAUGAAAACACUAUUUGGCAGUAAAAAUGAAUGGACUCUUGCUACAUGCACCAUCACAGAUGGAACUCAAAGGCAUGACAAGAAGCCUGACACAGGAUGACUGUACUGUAUGAUUUUGUUUAUAUGACAUUAUGGAAAAGGCAAAACCAUAGGGGUAGAAAACAGACCAGUGGCUGCCUACUAGGGGUAAAGGGAGGUGACUGGCUACAAAGGAGAAAGAAGGAACUUUUGGGGGGUGAUUAAAAUGUUCUAGAGAUUAAAGAGAAAACUACUGCUGGGUCUUGGGGGAUGGUGGGAAAAGGGACAACAUUUAUUGCAGGAAAAUUCAUUUUGAGCAGAGGAUACAGUUCUGUUAUCUUGAGAAACAGGGCCACCUGUCCACCUGCUUUGGUUUGGACAAAUGGCACAAAUUUCAUUUCUAUGUUCUUUAGAAUGUCAAUGAGGAGUUGGCCAACACAAGAUUCUGAAGAGGGCUGAGGAUACCCUUUGAGCUGAGCUCUGGUUCUUGAACACCUGCAAAAGGCCUUUGGAUUAAAAUAAGGUUCUCCUUAAGAAGAAGGCUUUGCUAUGUUUUACAGAGGUUGCUAUGUGUUCAAUUUCAAUGUUCUUGCUUUUGGGGGCUACCUGUGGUCUUAGGUGACUGGGACUUUUGAUAGAGUUUGUAACUGACAGAUUUUGCCUCAAUAAAGGAGCCUUCUUAUUGAAGUACCUGCCUUACCAUUUACCAUUUACCUAAACAAACAUGCCUGUAACUGAAUUUGAUAAGCUGGGAAUCCCAGCACCCAGCAGCAGAGGAUUGGGGGGAGGGUGAAGAAUAGAUAUUUUUGGUUGAGGGGACCUGUCCAAGAUUUCAAGUCCUAUCACAUGAGCAGCUGCCUAUUCUGUGACAAUUCUGACCACAACCUCUGGAUGGUAGUGUCUGAAAUAAUGUCCAUGAGGUGAUCUGAUGAGGACGCUUGGUCCAAACAAUUGGUGUGAACAGAAUCCCAUGGUUAUUUUGGGAGCUGUCGUAGGUUUUAAAAAACUUGUCGUUGAUGUAAAUUUUCUCCCAUGUGUAUUGGUUAUAUAUAUACACCUCCCUGCAUCCCUAUUAUUAAGCAUGGGGCCUUUGUAAAUACACAUUCCAUUCUGACCAAACACUACUUCUGAGUUUCAGACAUCACCAUUCCAGCAUCGUGACAUAAACACAUCCAUCCCCAGACACACAAUUUUUAAAAUUGCGGAUUAAGUGCUAAACUAUCAUCAUGAAUUGCAUGGCCUUUUCCUGAGAAAGAGAUUAUGCAAUUAGUAAUAAGAAAAAUGCUGAGCAUUCUAUGGAAGAAGCAUCCCACAGGCUGUGGGUCAGUCACAAACUGUCAGAGGAGGUAACUGAGAAUACAUGACCACUGGUCGACCCUCGAGCUGGAUCUGGGCAACUGGAGGCCUCUCAUUCCUCCAGUAUGUUUGGAAUGUAUGUUUUGCCCACUGUUCCUGCAGUAGGAGCCAUUUAAAGGAUGAAGCUUUGUGAGAGUAACGCGUGGUUGAGACCAUCUGAACUGGAUAUGUGGACUGGACCCUGUUGAGGCCUCUGCAUGAACUUUAAGAUUCUGGCAGGUGGGUGUGGAGAUCUACUCAUCUUGUGGCUGGCUGCUCAAGACAAGCCUUGUAUGUGAGUUCCCUUGCUUAUUAAAAUUGUCACCUACAAAUCUAGAAUGUCUGUCUCUUUUCUGAGUCGCCUUGCCCUCCAUUUAUAGAGGACAAUUUGCAAACCAAUGCAAAUUUUUGUUCAAAAGCAGAUUCCCUGGUCCCCUCACUAGAAAUUUCAACUGAGGUCUGAGGUGGGGUUCAAGAAUCUUUAUUGCUGUCUCUUCAGCAAGUGGUGCUGGGAAAACUGGACAGCGACAUGCAGAAGAAUGAACCUGGACCACUUUCUUACACCAUACACAAAAAUAAACUCAAAAUGGAUGACAGACCUAAAUGUAAGACAGGAAGCCAUCAAAAUCCUUGAGAAGAAAGCAGGCAAAAACCUCUUUGACCUUGGCCGCAGCAACUUCUUACUCAACACGUCUCUGGAGGCAAGGGAAACAAAAGCAAAAAUGAACUAUUGGGACCUCAUCAAAAUAAAAAGCUUAUGCAUAGUGAAGGAAACAGUCAACAAAACUAAAAGGCAACCGACGGAAUGGGAGAAGAUAUUUGCAAACAACAUAUCAGAUAAAGGGUCAGUAUCCAAAAUCUAUUAAGAACUUAUCAAACUCAACACCCAAAAAACAAAUAAUCCAGUGAAGAAAUGAGCAAAAGACAUGAAUAGACACUUCUCCAAAGAAGACCUCCGGAUGGCCAACCGACACAUGAAAAGAUGUUCAACAUCACUCAUCAUCAGGGAAAUACAAAUCAAAACCACAAUGAGAGGGGCACCUGGGUGGCUCAGUCGGUUGAGCUCCCGACUUCGUCCCAGGUCACGAUCUCACCGUCUGUGAGUUCGAGCCCCGCGUCGGGCUCCGUGCUGACAGCUCAGAGCCUGGACCCUGCUUCGGAUUCUGUGUCUCCCUCUCUCUCUCUGACCCUCCCCCACUCAUGCUCUGUCUCUCUCUGUCUCAAAAAUAAAAUAAAAACAUUAAAAAAAAAAAAACCACAAUGAGAUACCACCUUAUACCUGUCAGAAUAACUAACAUUAACAACUCAGGCAACAACAGAGAAAGGAUCUCUUUUGCACUGCUGGUGGGAAUGCAAACUGGUACAGCCACUCUGGAAAACAGUAUGUAGGUUCCUCAAAAAAUUAAAAAUAGAACUACUCUCCGACCCAGCAAUUGCACUACUAUGUAUUUAUCCAAGGGAUACAGGUACGCUGUUUCAAAGGGACACAUGCACCCCCAUGUUUAUAGCAGCACUAUCAACAAUAGCCAAAGUAUGGAAAGAGCCCAAAUGUCCAUCGAUGGAUGAAUGGAUAAAGAAGAUGUGGUAUAUAUGUACAAUGGAGUAUUACUCGGCAAUCAAAAAGAAUGAAAUCUUGCCAUUUGCAACUACGUGGAUGGAACUGGAGGGUAUUAUGCUAAGUGAAAUUAGUCAGAGAAAGACAAAAAUCAUAUGACUUCACUCAUAUGAGGACUUUAAGAGACAAAACAGAUGAACAUAAGGGAAGGGAAACAAAAAUAAUAUAAAAACAGGGAGGGGGACAAAACAGAAGAGACUCAUAAAUAUGGAGAACAAACUGAGGGUUACUGGAGGGGUUGUGGGAGGGGGGAUGGGCUAAAUGGGUAAGGGGCANUGUUGGUGGGAAUGCAAGCUGGUGCAGCCACUCUGGAAAACAGUAUGGAGGUUCCUCAAAAAAUUAAAAAUAGAACUACCCUACGACCCAGCAAUUGCACUACUAGGCAUUUAUCCAAGGGAUACAGGUGUGCUGUUUCAAAGGGACACGUGAACCCCCAUGUUUAUAGCAGCACUAUCAACAAUAGCCAAAGUAUGGAAAGAGCCCAAAUGUCCAUCGAUGGAUGAAUGGAUAAAGAAGAUGUGGUACAUAUAUACAAUGGAGUAUUACUCGACAAUCAAAAAGAAUGAAAUCAUUUACAACUACGUGGAUGGAACUGGAGGGUAUUAUGCUAAGCAAAAUUAGUCAGUCAGAGAAAGACAAAUACCAUAUGACUUCACUCAUAUGAGGACUUUAAGAUACAAAACAGAUGAACACAGGGAAGGAAAGCAAAAAUAAUAUAAAAACAGGGAGGGGGACAAAGAGACUCUUAAAUAUGGAGAACAAACAGAGGGUUACUGGAGGGGUUGUGGGAGGAGGGAUGGGCUAAAUGGGUAAGGGGCAUUAAGGAAUCUACUCCUGAAAUCAUUGUUACACUAUAUGCUAACUUGGAUGUAAAUUAAAAAAAAAAUAAACAAAAAUUAAAAAAAAAGAAUCUUUAUUGCUAAGUUUCAUAAAUGCCUCAGGCAAUAUGGAUACUGUGGCCUUCAAGCCACCCCUUGAGAAAGACCCUUUUAAAAAUAGCCAGGAAAUUAAUUUUCUGUCAAGAUUGAACAGGAGGCAAAAUUUAUCCAGAAUCUUUUUUCCUUUUAUUGUCAAAGUGCAAAGUAAAUAGCCCUUAAUUCUCAGGAAAAGAAAAGACUACAUUAAAAGUGAGGAAGAGAAAAUGUGGGGGUCUGAGGAAAAGCAUCACGAGCUGUCAACUGUCACAAAGUCACAGUCCUAGGAAGUAGGCCACAGGGUGCCAAGUCUCAUCUCCUUUGCAAAUCGACUGCCACGCACACACGCACCAAAUGCACUGACACUAACCAACCAUAUUUUCCCAUCGUCACCUGCCAGUGUAGUCAUCACAACUAAAUUGCCAGCUUGUUUUUGUUCUGUUCACUUUGUCACCCAGUUUGAGAGCUACACCACGAUCAAUUCUAUUGCAUACUUCCCUGCAACUCCUCACUGGGUAAUGAGGUCAUCAAAAGAUUUAGGAGUUUACCUAUAAAUGUAUUUUAUUUUAUACUUUAGAGGAGUUUGGGGGAAAGAUUCUUGUACACAGCAUGGCCUUCAUAAGUGAUUGCUGAGCGAAUGAAUGAAAUGUUGGGCCGAAUCCCAUUAUUGUAUAUAUUCACAAAAUAGUAGAUCAAAUCAUAUUUUCAGUACAGCUAACAGUGAGCUGAGUCUUAAAACCCACAGUGAACGCUUUUGAAAGUGCAGAUGAUUUUCUGUUGUUAUUUUAUUGUGUUUGUUUUUUGUUAAGGAGAACAAUUAUAUCUUGAUACGUUUUGGAAAUUUUUAUUUUUAAAUCAUUUUAAAUUACACAAAAGUUGCCAAAAAUAGUUCAAAGAACUGCCUUAUAUUCUUCAAGUUGUUAACACUUCUGAAUCAUCUGAGAGUAAGCUGCAGAUAUGAAGCCUCCUUACCCUGUCAUACAUCGGUGUGUAGUUUCUACAAGCAAAGACAUUCCUAAAUAACCACAGCACAAUCUCACAUCAGGAGAAUGACACUGAUCCAAUGCAAUCUAAUAAAAUCCACUGAAAUUUCACCAAUUAUGCCAUUACUGUCAUUUAUAGGCCUUGGAGCCUAUUAAAGAUCACCUCUUGCAUUUAGUUGUCUUGUCUCUCUAGUGACUUUUAAUCUGCAACAAUUUUUACUUUCAUAGCCUUGCCAUUUUUGAAGGAUACAUGCCAGUUACUUGAAUUUCUCUCAAUUUGCAUUUGUCUGAUGUUUCCUCAUGACUUUUAUAUUUAUGCAAAAGAAGUACUACUGUGUUCUUUUCACUGUAUUCUAUCAGGAGGCAACAUGAGGUUGGUUUUUUCCAUUACUGGUUUUUAUUUAUGUAAACUUUUGCCAGUUGAUUAAGAUGGUAUCUCCCAAAUAUUACAGUUGUAAUGUAAUGUUAAUUAGUAAGCGUGCUGUCCUUGUUAAUUAAUAAUUAAUGGUAUGUUGAUGAGAAUUAAUGACUAUUUUUAGGGAUAUACUUUGAGACACUGUAAGUAUCUCAUUCCUCAUCAAACUUUUACUCACGAAUUUUAGCAUCCAUUGAUGAUUCUGGCUUGAAUCAAUCAAAAUGAUGGUUGUAACAUCGUGAUUUUCUACAUUCUAUCUUUCUUUCUCCUUCUAUUAGUUGUAUUCUACUAGUAGAACUUUCCUUUCUCCUUUAUUUCUUUCUAUCAGCAUGGACUCAUCUCUAUUUUACUCAAAGGUUACAACUUGUUGCUGUCAUUAUUUAUUUUGAUGCUUAAAUUGUCCUAGAUUUGGCUGAUAGAGACCCCUUUAGAUCCUAUAUUCUUUGAACGUAUCUCCAUAAUUCUUUAAGUACCUUUUCAUUUUCCUUGCACAACAAAUUAUUCUGGUUUUACCCACUACACCAUGGAACCAUAGUUCUCUUUGGUGGAGAAUGGUAUUUAAAAACCAAAGUCUGAGUAUUAGGUGUGUUCAUGGCUACUGGGGUACUAUUGCAUUUAGACUCUCUCAGUGAAUGGAACUAGGAAACAUACCAACAUAUAUAUGCACAUAUUCAUAUAUUUUUCUAUCUUUUCAUCUGUGUAAAGUAGAAUUCAUUUCAUACCAUCUUCUUUAAUUUCAAGCCACAUCACUGGGUUUAUUCUAAUCUUUCCUCUUUUUAUAUCUGUAAUUCCCUUCUCCAACAGUGACAAAACUGCCUACCAAUAUCCUUAAUAUAUUUACUUGUUUGUUCAAUUCCUGGUAUGUAAACUAAUCUGUUGGCCAUGGUAGCAAAAAGUAUGGCCUGUCUCUAUGAAGUUAAUUAUUUUUAUCAUUACAUAUAUAUAUAUAUAAUAUUUAUAAUAUAAAUAUGUUAUAUUAAAAUUACAUAUAAGUUAUAUAUAUAAUAAAAAUAUGUAGUAUAUAUGUCUAUGUGUAUAAAAUAUAUACACAUACAUGUAUACAUAUGUAAUUAUUUUAUUGAAUUGCAAAUUCAAAUUUAUUGAAUAUAAGUAAAUAUGUAUAAAUUUUAUUGAAUUGUAAAUUAAAAUUUAUUGAAUAUAAGUAAAUACAUAUAAAAAUAUCUGAUUAUAUAUAAUAAUCAGCUUUACUGAUAUAUACCAUGAAGUUCAAGGUGUACUAUAUGAUGAUUUGAUACACAUGUAUAUUGCAAAAUGGUUACCACAGUAAGGUUAGUUAACACUUCAUCCCAUCACAAAAUUACCACUUUGUGUGUGUGUGUGUUUAGAUGACAAUUAAAAUUUACCCUAACAACUUUUGAGCAUAAUACAGUGCUGUUAACUAUAGUCAUCAUGCUAUACAUUAUUAGAUCCCUAAAACUCAUGCAUCUUAUAACUAGGUUUGUACCCUUUGAUCAACAUCUCCUCAUUUUUCCAAUCUCUUGGAAACUACCAUUCUAUAUUUCUAUGAAUUCAGCUUUUUUAGAUUUCACAGUGAGCUCAUACACUGUUCGUUUUUCUCUGAUUUAUCUCACUGAGCAUAGUGUCCUCAAGGUCCAUCCAUAUUGUUGCAGAUGGCAGGAUUUCCUUCUUUUUGUAUGGCUAAAUAAUGGCUCGUUCUGUGAAAAAUGCCGUUGGAAUUUUGACAAAAAUUUUGGUAAUAAUAGUAAGUGUGUGUAUUUGUGUGUGUGAGAUCCAUUCAGGUGUCAAUGGAUAAUCAGGUUGUUUCCAUGUCUUGGCUAUUGUAGAAAAUGUUGCAAUGAACAUGGGAGUGCAUAUAGCUUUUUGAGUUAGUGUUUUCACUUUUGGGGGGGGGAUAUAUGUCCAAAAGUGGAAUUGCUGGAUUAUUUGGUAGUUCUAUUUUUAAUUUUUUGAGGAAACUCCAUAGUGUUUUCCAUAGUGGCUGCACCAAUCUACAUUCCCAUCAGCAGUAUACAAGGGUUCCCUUUUCUCUACUUUCUCACUAAUACUUGUCUCUUGUCUCUUUGAAAAAUAGCCAUUGUAACAAGUGUGAAGUAAUAUCUCAUUGUGGUUUUAAUUUGCAUUUCCUUAAUGAUUAGUGAUAUUGAGCAUUCUUCACGUGCCUGUUGGUCAUCUGUAUGCCUUCUUCAGAAAAAAUGUCUAUUCAAGUCCCUCACCCAUUUUUUACCUGUUUUUGUUUUUCUAUUGAGUUGUAUGAAUUCUUAUACUUCUCAUCAGAUAUUAACUCCUUAUCAGAUAGAUGGCUUGAAAAUAUUUUCUCCCAUUCUAUAAGUUGCCUUUUCAAUUUGCUGACUGUUGCCUUUGCUGUGCAGAAGCUAUUUAGUUUGAUAUAGUCCCACUUGUUUAUUUUUACUUGUGUUGCUUGUGUUUUUGGAGUCAUAUCCAAAAAAUUGUUGCCAAGACCAAUGUCAAAGAGACUUUCCUCUGUUUUCGUCUAGUAGUUUUACAGUUUUGGGUCUUACGCUUAAGUCUUUAAUCCAUUUGGAGUUAAUUUUUGUGAGUUGUGUAAGAUAGGGGUCGAGUUUCAUUAUUUUGCAUGUGAAUAUCCAGUUCUCCUAACAUCAGUUAAUUCUUGGCUCCCUUGUCAAAUAUUCAUCCACUGUUUACAUGUGGAUUUAUUUCUGGGCACUCCAUCGGUCUAUGUGCCUGUUUUUAUGCUAAUACCAUACUGUUUCAAUUACUAUAGCUUUGUAAUAUAGUUUGAAAUUUGAAAUCAGGUAGUGUCAUGCCUUUAGCUUUGCUUUUCUUGCUUUAGACUGUUUUGGCUAUUUAGGGUCUUUUGUGGUACCAUAUACAUUUUAGGAUUCCCCCCCCCCCGUUUCUGUGAAAAAUGUCAUUGGAAUUUUGACACAGAUUAUGUUGAAUCUGUAAAUGGCUUUGGGCAGCACGGAUACUUUAACAGUAUUAAUUCUUCCAAUCUAUGAAUGUGGGAUAUCUUCCCAUUUAUUUGUGUCUUCUUCAAUUUCUUUCACCAAUGUCUUGUAAUUGUCAGUGUAUGGAUCUUUCACCUCCUUGGUUAAGUUUAUUCUUAAGUAUUUUGUUCUUAGGUAUUUUGUUAUAUUUGAAGACCUUUCUUCAGAUGCACCUGAAGCUCACUGCUUAUACUUCCAGAUGGUUGUUCCCUGAUGCCUGACCCUCAAGAAGCUGCUGGUCUCAGAAAUGCAGAGCUCCCCUUAAAAGGAAGACCCCCUUCCCAUCCCCCAUCUCUCAGUAAGAAGCCCAUUCUCUACCUGUUCCAAACAGCUGCAGCCAGCUCCACGAAGAUGCUUACACCAAAUAAACCUGGGAACAGAAAAUUUUCAUAUUUCAACAAAUGAAAUAACUGGGGCAUCUAAUGAAAUUAUAUUUUACUCAUUAGGUUAAGUGUGGUUUCCUUUGGUUGCAGGCUUUCUUCCAGGUUUUGGUGGCACCACUUUUGUGACUUAGCCCCAGGUAAUACAUAUACCUGCUUGGGUACGUCCCCAUUAAGCAGAAGGGUCUGAGGGCUGGGACCGUUAUUUUAUCAAUUUCUAGUGCUUGGCAGAGGGUCUAACACAGGGUAGGUGCUAAUUAUUGUUAAUUGGAUGAAAGAAUGAAUAUGUCCAUUAGUCAAUAUAGAAUGGUGGGAAAGGAGAUUUAUCUUGGGAAGGAGACAUUAAAGUUCAACCUGUGACCCACGUGGAGGAAGACAGGUCAUCCAUCUUUAGAAAUCUUUAGAUAUUUUGAGUUUUUGUUUUCCUGGUAACACACAAUUCAAGAAUAAAUUAUUCUUGAUAUUGGUUACAUUGACAUUGCACACUGCUCCCAUGGUGACCAUCCAGUACCAACAAUGUUGUUCUAUUUUCACCUGCAGUUUCCUGAGUUUUUAACCAAAUAUCCAAUUUCAAAGAUCCCACAUUAAAGAAUGUCUUCAGUUCAAGUUACCCUUUCUCAUUUUCUAUCUUCAACCUUUUCCUCUUUUCCCCAAGAACGUCUGCAGAGUUAAUUUCUCUUGAAAAUUCUUUCGUGGUGUUCCAGAUACGAAUGAUCAUAAAAUACUCCAAACACAGCAUGUGGUGUAAACGUUGAAUCGAUUAAAAUGACGAGGUUAGUCACAAUAUCCCUGACGAUCGCUGUGGCCCAUUUUAAUUUAGAGGGCGCCAGCUACACGUCAGCGAGAGACUGAAAGCUACCGGGCAAACCACUCCGGACCAGGAAUCCCUAAGACAACCCUGACGCCGCUGAAGUUUCCAGACGCGGCCAGCUCUCGGGACUGACAGAAGGAGCCUCCGCCUCGCCGAGCCAGUCUGCCAGUUUUCUCGGCAGCAGAUAAAGUGCCAGGAAUUUCUAGGCUUUCCCUUCCUCGGGCAAAUCCCAGUCUGCACCGUCCGAGGCGCAUAGGAACAGGUGAGCCGAGAGGCGGCGCCCGGGGGACGCGAGCAGGUGCCUGGGCCCCGCCCGGCCCCGCCCGGCCCCGCCCCGGGGACCUCCCGGCCNNNNNNNNNNNNNNNNNNNNNNNNNNNNNNNNNNNNNNNNNNNNNNNNNNNNNNNNNNNNNNNNNNNNNNNNNNNNNNNNNNNNNNNNNNNNNNNNNNNNNNNNNNNNNNNNNNNNNNNNNNNNNNNNNNNNNNNNNNNNNNNNNNNNNNNNNNNNNNNNNNNNNNNNNNNNNNNNNNNNNNNNNNNNNNNNNNNNNNNNNNNNNNNNNNNNNNNNNNNNNNNNNNNNNNNNNNNNNNNNNNNNNNNNNNNNNNNNNNNNNNNNNNNNNNNNNNNNNNNNNNNNNNNNNNNNNNNNNNNNNNNNNNNNNNNNNNNNNNNNNNNNNNNNNNNNNNNNNNNNNNNNNNNNNNNNNNNNNNNNNNNNNNNNNNNNNNNNNNNNNNNNNNNNNNNNNNNNNNNNNNNNNNNNNNNNNNNNNNNNNNNNNNNNNNNNNNNNNNNNNNNNNNNNNNNNNNNNNNNNNNNNNNNNNNNNNNNNNNNNNNNNNNNNNNNNNNNNNNNNNNNNNNNNNNNNNNNNNNNNNNNNNNNNNNNNNNNNNNNNNNNNNNNNNNNNNNNNNNNNNNNNNNNNNNNNNNNNNNNNNNNNNNNNNNNNNNNNNNNNNNNNNNNNNNNNNNNNNNNNNNNNNNNNNNNNNNNNNNNNNNNNNNNNNNNNNNNNNNNNNNNNNNNNNNNNNNNNNNNNNNNNNNNNNNNNNNNNNNNNNNNNNNNNNNNNNNNNNNNNNNNNNNNNNNNNNNNNNNNNNNNNNNNNNNNNNNNNNNNNNNNNNNNNNNNNNNNNNNNNNNNNNNNNNNNNNNNNNNNNNNNNNNNNNNNNNNNNNNNNNNNNNNNNNNNNNNNNNNNNNNNNNNNNNNNNNNNNNNNNNNNNNNNNNNNNNNNNNNNNNNNNNNNNNNNNNNNNNNNNNNNNNNNNNNNNNNNNNNNNNNNNNNNNNNNNNNNNNNNNNNNNNNNNNNNNNNNNNNNNNNNNNNNNNNNNNNNNNNNNNNNNNNNNNNNNNNNNNNNNNNNNNNNNNNNNNNNNGGACUUGUGUGGGAUGGGUGCAGGUCUGCAUAUAAAUCAUGUUCCUGGGUUUCUGGGUGCGAAGCGCUCAGUGACUGGGGCCAGCGAGCAGAGGGUACGUGCUCUUAGGUACUUCCAGUCUUCCGAUGCUGUGAUCGCAGGUGGGGCACCUUUACCCCAGAAGCAGGCGUUCAUUAACUUUUUCUCUGAUAAACCUCGCCCUUUUGCGGUUUGCAAGAAGGAGCGCAAGCGAGUGGUGAGGUGGGGAGGGCAGGGGUGGGGGCGGGGGUCUGUUCUUCGGGAACUGCGGCAGGAAAGAGAACGGUAGGUAGGUAUUCGCUCUCAGAGGGCGACCGCUAAACUGUUGGCGUGAACAGCUCGUGUUUACCGUCACCGUCAGGCUGUAAACGUGGCCCGGCGAGACGGAAAAAAGUGACCCAGAAAAUUUAAUUUUGUUCAGAAUGAAAGAUGCUUUUUAAUUUUAUUUUGUUAUUCGUUUUUAAUUUGAUGGAGCAGGAACGUGAUUUGUUUUUCUCUUGUUGGGAGGAGUGGCAUUUCUGCCUUACAAAUUGAAGAUAUUUUGGGGCUUGUUGUUGGCUUGGGAUUGUUCCCUCAGCAUUUAUCAAUGCUUAGAAGCUGGAUCCUCAGGUAGUUUGUAAUCGAUACCUUUUAGCAACCCCAAAGUAAAACUGCAAAAAUAAGCAGUCUUAGACCGAGCCCAACAUUGGACCCUUUUCUCACCAGAAGGGGAUGAGAGAUGGAAGACGAAGAACCAGGCUUCUAAGUGUCCGGAUGGAGUUACAGACGGAGCCGCAAGUUUGUGUAUGUUCUGUCAGAAAGUGUUUGAAGGGACACUGUUAAUAGGUUUGGCUUCCUAUGUUAACAGCAAGGCUUCUCUAGAUCACUUUUCAUAGGCGGAUGGGUAAUUCCAGGGAGUGGGACCUGGGGGUUGGAGAAACUUUCUGUAAGCUGUACAUUCUUUAUCAUGAUGUGUUCUUAGUCUUAUUAAUUUGUUAAUUUUGCAAUGGCUGAGACUGCUCUGUGACAGAAAGUAAGCAGAGGACUGCGGGACAUUUGAGGCUCUUUGGGGAUGCGCUUCUGUAAGUGAAAGCUUGCAUGCUAAACAGCCAAACCCAAGAUAAGAAGUUCUUUCUGAGUUCCCUGAUGGUACCGUCGAGCCAAAUUGUUGCAUAAGUAUGGUGAUCUUAGAUACUAUAAAUGUUGAGGUAUUAUAUAUAUAUUAUAUAUAUAUGUAUAAUAUAAUAUAUAUUACAUUAUAUGUAUAAUAUAGUAUAUAUUACAUUAUAUGUAUAAUAUAAUAUAUAUUACAUUGUAUGUAUAAUAUAAUGUAUAUUAUAUAUUUAUAUAAUAUAUAUUAUAUAUGUAUAAUAUAAUAUAUAUAUUAUAUAUGUGUGUGUGUAUUCCCUCCUCCCCUCCAUAACUCAUUCUUUCCUGAAGGCAUCUGUAAAUUCUAGAAAUAUCAGAUAUUGUGGGUAUUUUGGUACAAAAGGUGGCCACUAGGAUUUCCUUUUUGUUUUUUAAUUUUUUUAAUGUUUGUUUAUUUUUGAGAGAGAGAGCGAGCGAGCAGGGGAGGGGCGGAGAGAGAGGGAGACACAGAAUCCAAAGCAGACUCCAGGCUCCACACUGGCAGCCCAGAGCCCAACGCAAGGCUCCAACCCACAAACCUUGAGAUCAUGACCUGAGCUGAAGUCAGAUGCUUUACCGACUGAGCUACCCAGGUGCCCCGGUAUUUUCCUUUCCGUUGCCAUCGCAUUGGUUAACUUUACUUCCAUGUCUCCUUUAAGAGACUUUAAUUAACAGUGAAUUUAUUUUGCUGAGAGUUUUAGUAAAACAGUGCUAGUUUUUCUUCAAGCGAUAAAUCUGUCUUAUCAAGUGAAACAUUACAGCAGUGCUUUUGCGGCAGAAAUGUCUCUUUAAAUGAGACAAUCCUUAUUUAUUUUUUUUUAUGAUUCAUUGAUUAAAAGUAACCAACAUAGAUAUUUUUUAAAUGAGCAAACAUUUCUUGAGAAAGAAAAAAAAUUAAAGGGUAUUGGGGACAGUGAAAUUUGCCAGUAAUUUUGGAUGCCUUUUUUGUCCACAGGGACAGAAUUUGAUGUGAAAGUAGGAUCCUUCUGUUUCUUAUUUCUCUGAUAUUCUCCCAUGCAUUUUGUCCCCUGCACUCCUAAGACUUUGCCAGGAAUUGCUGAACAUUCUGUUUUGUGCUAAGGGUUAAACAUCAGGGUGAUAUGAGUAAGGAGCUAUGUGUCAUAUCAACGUUUUUCAAAAAGGAUACUCUUAGAGAUUUCAAUAACUGUUUCCUUAGCUUCACAGUUAGCUUAACUCACAGUGCUUUGAACCUAGGAAAGCAUUUAACCUCUUCCUUUUCAGUGCCAGCUAGAAGGAAUAUAUUUCCUGAAUUUCAUCUCAUUGCAACAUAUGGCAUGAUAUAAAUAAUUACUACACACACAGUAUCCUGCUGUAUGGAGAGAAAUGGAAUUACAAAAUAAACCUUCGUGUUGAGUGAUUUGGAGGUAACAUUUCAAAGACAAGUUUUACUUUUCUUCCUUGAUUACCAAAGUAAUAUAUAACCAUUGGGAAAAAAUUCAAGAAAAUACAAAGAAAAAAGAUUUGUAAUUCUCCCAUGGAUGGUGAACCACAGUUGACAUUUCUGCAUGCUGUAUAUUCCUCCAGAUUUUAUUCUGAUCACAUUAUUAAUUGUAUUUUUUAAAUUUUUAAUUAAAAUUUUUUUCUUAUUUUAGAGAGAACAGGCGAUUGCGAUGGGGGGAGGAGCAGAGAGAGAAUUUAAAAAAAAAAAGGUUUUUUUAAUGUUUAUUUAUUUUUGAGAGAGAGAGAGACAGAGCACAAGCAGGGGAGGGGCAGAGAGAGAGAGGGAGACACAGAAUCUGAAGCUGCCUCCGUGCUGACAGAGCCUGACACGGGGCUUGAACCCACAAACUGUGAGAUCAUGACCUGAGUGGAAGUUGGACGCUAAACCGACCAAGCCCCCCGGGGCACCCCAGAGAGAGAAUCUUAAGUAGGCUCCACACUCAGCAUGGAGUCCAGCAUGGGACUUUAUCCCAUGACCUUGGGAUCAUGAUCUGAGCAGAAAUCGAGUUGGACACCCAACCAGCUGAGCCACCCAGGCACCCCUAUUCACUGUGUUUUUAUACUUCUCUCCCCCAGCCUCCCAAAUUUUCAAAUCUUGUAAAUGGAACUUGGAUGUGCUAAAGGUUUAGUAAAUUACUACUAGUUUAUUGGAUGAUUUUGAUAGAGGAGAUUUAAAUUUUUGUUAGUGGUUCUUAUUUUCAAAGAGAGUAGUUCCUCUGUUUUUCCAUUUUCUUUGAAAAAUGAAGGUUUUUACUUUGGUUUGGUAAUACUUGGGACUUCCCAUAAGAUUUAGGGAUUAAAGCAUCAGAAAAGAAAAAGAACCUUGGCCUUGUUUAGGGUGGGGUGUGCAUGUGGAGGGAUGGAUACCUGAGUUCUGGUUUCAUUUUCUCCACCUCAUGUGGCCUGUGGCCUCUGGGCCUCUGCUUCAAAAGAUAAAUGGAACUUUCAGCUUUAGUUAGUAAACUAACAUAUUUGUUGUUUUGACAUGUGAUGAGGAUGAUAGUUGUUUGAAGUGGGCUUUUUCAAACACAGGAGGCUCGGGGGUCAACCCCAGAGUUUCUGAUGUAGUGGGUCUGGGGUGGGGCCUGAGAAUUUUCAUUUGUAACAAGUGCCCAGACGCUGCUGCCUGCACUGAUCUGGGGACUACACCCAGAACUAGAUGCUGUGCUCCUUGAGGGCAGAAUCCCUGCCCUCUUUUCUUUGCAUCCAUCUGCCCUAGUGUCCCGCCAGGAGGUUCACUGUAAGCGUCGGUUUUCUCCGUGGGAAAAACUUUCUCCAGUAGUCAAGAUAAAAAAGAUAACCAUCCAGAGUCUGGAGCCAUUAAGUCUGUAGUAAGAGUACUAAUCAGUCAUGAAACCCAGUUCUUCAAACUGCAACGGAAGCAAAAGCGCUUACAAGUAGGUUGUUAAAAUGAACAUUAAACCUAAUGAGCUACCUUAAAUAACAGCUCAGAGUACCUGCUUGAAAUGUUACAAACUGGAAGGCUCAUGCAUGCUUCACUGUUGCCUUCCGGAGACCUAUAAGAGGCAUUUCGUUUUCUACCACAUAUACAUUCCAAAAAGGGUGUGUAUGUGUCUAGAUUCACUAUGAAUUAUCCCAACUACCAAAGCAGGUCAAGGAAACAGUGGCCUAGACUCCUCCCUCCAACCCCCGGCCAAAAGGUAGAACAAUGCUCAUUAGAACAUCACAAAAUGGGGACCUAAGCUUGGAGAAAACAUUAACCUGUGUGAGUCCACAAAACUGAUCAGUGGCAUCACGAGAAAUCAGAUCCAGGCCUGCCUGACAGGAAAGGGUGUUCUUUACCACAUUCCUCUAUGGACACGGAGUGAAACCAUUUGAUGGCCGGGAGAUUGCAGGUAGCUGAAAUACCCCAGUCACAACUUUUGGUCAUCCUGGUGUGGCUACUUCGUGACUAGAGAAUUAAUCCUUCUACUUAGGCGUUAGAAACAUAGGGUGCAGAAAACCUCCAUUUUUAUGGAUGGGAACUUAAAAUGUAACUAUUUGAAUCUGGACAAAGUAGAUGUUCACAAAUGCGUUGUGGUGGAGACCCAAUUUCUUGGCUUUUCUAAGUACUUAGGUAAAACCUUUAAAGGAAAAAGCCAACCUGUAAGUUUUUGCAGGGUAGAAUUCUCUUAGCCUAGUACCUGCCCCACCCAAGAAGCUAUUUUCAUGCCUGGGGUGAUGUACACCUCUAGCAAAGCCCUUCGAGGGGAGCUAUGCCUGAACCAGCUUGAGCAGGAGCUAGCGGAGGCAGCCCUCACUCUGAAGUGCCUCAGGCACCUGUACUGAGACCUGGCCAGCCCUGAGCCCUGACGGAGACCUGUGACUGGUGGCCCUUAAAGUAGGACAACAGGCAAUUUAAAACCCCGUUGAUUGUGUUUCUGAACCUCAAUUUCCCCAUCUGUAAAAUAGGAAUAACAGAAUGCCCCUUGAAGGAUCAGUAGCUGGGAGAAAAUGACAACUUGCCUAGCAUGCUGCACGGAGGAGGCACAGUGACCCAAGAAGGCGGACCCUGUCACACCAAUUGUCUAUUUUCUAAUAAUUUUGAUUACGAGUUGUUGGUUUGCAGCCCUGGAAGUUUCCCAGUAAUCUGAAACCCACCUGGGUGCAGGAGGGCAAAGAGACCCAGGGAAGCAUUCACUCCAGGUUGGUAGGUGGCAGCGUUAAUUAGCAAGGAAACUUACAUAGGAGCUUUGUCCGGAGCAGCUGCAAGAUAAAUAGCCCUCUCCAUGUGGCACCUGGGUGGCUCAGUCAGUUAAGUGGUGAAGCGUCCACUCUUGAUUUCGGCUCAGGUCGUGAUCUCACAGCGGAGCCUGCUUGGGAUUCUCUCUCUCCCUCCUUCUCUGCCCCUCCCCCACCAGCACUCUGUCUUUCUCUCAAAAUAAAAAUCUCUGCAUUGAAUUGCCUGCCGGAAUCGUAGGGGUUUUGUAGGAGCCUUAAUGGCGUUCAGGUAUAUGUUUAGUCCGGAUGGAGCUCAGCAGCGCCUGAUUCUCCCAGGGUUAUGCCCUUGGAGGUGGCUCCCACUUUGGGAACCAUGGGCAGAGCCGACAUGCCAAGGACUAGAGAGGGGAUGAGGAGCCUCUGAGUGCUCACGUCCCCCUUUCAGGUCACCCAGUGGUCCUGUCCUCUUGAUAGCCUCCUCCAAAGUGAGUCUGUGAGGACUUGCCUAUAUCAGCCUAGCAUUUGAGGGACUCCCAAGUCCCUUGGAGAAUCCUGCUCCAGAGUGCUAAAAGUGGAUUUGAGAAGGUUCGUAGAAAAUAGGUGGCCCAGACACUAGGUGGAGAGGGUGGGGUGGGAAGGAUCUUCCUCUGCAGUAGCCAAAGAUGGGUCUGUUUCCUUGAGCCUAAAGGCCAUUAAUCAUUAGCAGGAAGAGAGGUGAAAAAUAGGGGCUGCUGCUACAUGGCUGUCUCUUAGGGCGGCUUGUGACCCAUACUUGAAGCAAGGCUGUGCAGUGUUUUUCCUCUGUACCUUCGGGAUCUCUUACCGUGUUUGGCAGGCUAGGAGUUGGGUGAACGUUUGCUGAGUUACUGGCUUGUAGAGUGGCAGCUCCAGUGGGUGAAAAUGGGAGGGAGGAUGAACUAGUAUUGACAGAGAGAGAUGGACUGGUCUGGGUGCAGGUACAUGGGCUGGGGCAGGUGUGGAUGCAAGGUACCCCAUUCUUAUUGUUUACUUGAUUUUGCCUGCCUAGGUCACCUUGGAUUUAUGAUAUACUGAGGCCCUCUUCCUGGUUUGUAAUUAUGCACUAGUAUUUGUCUCUCCCUCUGCCUGUGGGCUUCUUAAAAAAUUUAUUUAUUUUGAGAGAGAGCAAGAGAGAGAUAACGAAUGGGGGAGUGGCAGAGAGAGAGGGAGAGAGGGAAUCCCAAGCAGGCUCUGUGCCGUCAGUGUAGAGCCCAAUGCGGGGCUCGAUCUCACAAACCGUGAGAUCAUGCUCUGAGCCGCGAUCAAGAGCCGAACGCUUAACCGGGUAACCGACUGAGCCACCUGGGUGCCCCUGUUUGUUUGUUUGUUUGUUUGAACCAUGAUUUUAUCCUGUACCCAGCACCAGACCACACACAUAGUCAGUGCUUGAGAAAGCACUUGUUUGUUUCCUAAAUAAAAAGUUGCCAAGCCUACAAAGCUAUGGAUCUGUCAUGAAAAAGUGAAGUGAUAUUGUUCAGCACUUGUAAAGCUUUUUUGUAGAUCACAGCCUUUUAAAAAGAAUUAGGUGUAAUUACUCCCAUUUUAUAGAUGAGAAGACUGUGGCUGAAGCAGAGGUUUAGCCGCAAGCCGUACGUCAGGUAGUUAUUGAGUAGAGAGAAACUGAGGGAUUUAGAUUUAAAUCUUACCUGAUCACAGAGUCUUGAGUCUGAUGUAUCACAAAAUGGGGGAUAGACAGAGACCCUACCCUCGAGAUCACUUCAGUUGUCAUGGAGAGAUAUUAGCAAUAAAUAGAAAAUUAACAAUGAAAGAUGUUAAGUGACAGUUUAGGGAAAAAUGCAUGGAAUUUUGUAAGUCAGAUUAGGUAGCAAAUAGAUGACAAAGACAGUAAGUGCAGUUCAGUGUGGAGAGAGAGCAUUGUAGCAUCAGACCUGGUAGAGACAGGCUUUGAGAAAUCGGUAGAAAUUUCAUAGGUGAAGAAAAAAGACAACAGCAAGCUUUGCAGGUGGAGGUAUUGAUAAUGGCUUAGUAAAGCAAUUAUUGUUCUUCAGAGUAAGAACCCAUUUUUUUCUUGAAACGUGGGGCCCUCUGACCCAUUUUUGAUAGAAACAUGGGUACCAAAUUCAUGGGUACCAGGAGUUUUUGCUAAAAGCAAGAUAAGCCACCCAUGUAUGAUGAUGAAUGAAUGACCCUGAACCCCAGGGUUGGGAAGCCAUCAGGGACAGGUGAGGACUGUGUUAAAGCAAAGUCUAUGUUCUUCUCAGAAAGCCCUGUUGUCGCCAUCCAUUUUUAAUCAUUAGCAACCAAUUUUAAUUAGAAAAAAUAUUGUGUAGAUGUACAUUGCUCAAUCCAAGCAAGACACUUGUUUGAGCUGGCUUUGUUUUUUAUAUGUGUGACCUCUCUAGAAGAAAGACAACAGCUUAAAAAAAAUGUCCAAUGUCUUUUUCCCUCAAGCUGCUAUGUAAGUGCUACUGUGUUCAGAUUCCAAACCAAGCAGGAAGAUGCCAUUAUAUUAUUUUGCUGACCGUACAUCCUAAAACAAAGACUGAUUCAGCAGCUGGUCAAAAUAGAAAGGAUGCAUUCACAAAGAAUAAAUUUAUUGAUUAUAUUUUAGAUUUUUUUUUUUUUUUAGAGGAAGGCACUUUAACUUUUAGAAUGGCACAUAGUUUAGGAGCUUGGCUGCUGACUUCUGCUGGGACCCUGGGGUCUGUGACAUUGGCAAAGUAGCUUAACACCAUUGAUCUGCAUUCUCCCCAAGUGCAGAAUAAGGCUGAGAAACUGUGAUUGCUGAGGGCAUUACCGACGGAGAGAUUGUUCCUGGAUGUCUCUGGUUUAGUCAGUUCUUAGUUGGGCAGGGAGGGGGGUUCCUUCCCCAGGUCACGGUUUGUCUAAGGUCCUUGCCGUUUUCCCUGCUUUUCGCCUGGCUUGUCCUCAUCGGCAAUAUGUCCCACUAAUGAACACCUUUUUCUAGAUGAUAAUUAAUCAGGUAUGGCUCUUGUUACCAAGAAGUUUAAAAUUCUGUGGGGAGGGGGAGGAGAAACAGGAUGUGUUAAGAUAAGCACACAUAAAUGGGAUAGGGGAGAGACUAUGGAGAGAUUUCAUUGAAGAUGUUGAGUGGACAAAUUGGACAUUUGACAACCAAUGGCUUUGGGACCUGCAGAGAUGAGAGCAGGGGCCAGAGGUGGCCAGGGUGUGCUUGAGGCAUUUCAGUUAAGUAAAAGUACAGGGGUGACAAAGUGUGCAAAGAACGUCCCCCUAUUGAGAAUCAAAUCCUUAAAAACCUUUCAGGCAGGAAGUCUAUGUUGGUGAACUUAAAACUUGAGGGGCAGCAGAGACAGGGGACAUCUAGGUAGUAAGUGAAACUGUUUAAAAUAAAUAUUUACAUGUACCAAAAGUACAAAGAGAAAACAAAGUAGAUUGUGAGUGACAUUUUCCUCACCUUAUGUUGAUAACAGAGGUUGUGCCACAGCGAGUUUCUAGUUGUUGCCAUUUUCCAGGAGAUCACUCCUCUGCAGUGAAACGCUUGUAAGAGGGUUUGCUUUAUUAGAGCCAUGCACGGUUCCCAUGCAAAUGGGCCUCUUCCUGUACUGUGUCAGGCUCUCUGUCUAGACAUUCAGUGCCUUUUAGACUUUCUGACUGCCAGCUUGACCGCGGACUCCAGUAGCUUCCUGUGGCUCAAGGGUAAAGUGGAUGAAUCUUGGGAUAAACCUUAUUUAACUUGCUCGGCAUAACUGAUUAGGAAGCUCUCAGAUGUCUCACCCCUAUGCGUAGGGUAUCAAGCUUCAUGCCAAAGCAUAUGCUGUCAAUUCCAGGUUUUCAUUUCUUUGGCUUCCUGUAGCUUUCAAAAGCUUCUCUGCAAAAACCACUUCCCCUGCCUGCCAUCUGCCUUACAACCUCCCUCCCUCGCUUAAAAAAAUCUGUGUCUAAGCCCCAGUUUCUUGUCUUUUUAAUUAUCCUUAAUGGGGAAUGACCUGUUGGCUAUGAAUGACAUAUUUGGAAGUAGAUUGGCUUAAGUUGAAUUUUGCUUAUUGGGAAUCCUUGGUUGGGAUAAGUUACUUGGGGUUGCGAUUGGACGUGUUGUUGGCCAUGGAAGAUGGACAGUGAUUGACAAGACUAGAAAUUCAAAUUGGGGCCAGUCUAUUAGGGACUUGAAUGCCACACGCAUAUAGCGGUGGUGAUGAUAAUGGAGAUUCAGGGCUUUCUGGCAUAUAGAAAAAGAAAAAAACCCAAAGAACUGAAUUAAAGCAAAUUUAAGCCAACUCAAGAAGAGGAACCUAUGUGACUUCUACAUCUGGGAAUUCAGGCCUGGCUGGAUCCAGAGACUUAAAUAAUGCCGUCAGCAUUCUUAACUUGAUACUUCAUUGUCUUGACUUCCUCCUUUGGUGACACUAGAGAAAAAGAAGAUGGUCACGAAUAUCCCUCCCCUCACAUCCUUUUCACACUGCCCCUCACAGGGAACAGGGUCUUCAUUCUUCCAAUGUCCUUCUCUCAGCCUCAGGGAAAGCCCCAGAUCAGUCCCAGUGGUGCAGCUUGAUCUAAUCAGCAUGUCCUGUCAUACAGCAUCCUCUGGCCAGAGUAGUCCACGGGCCCACCCUUCCCUAUCAGAAGAAGGAAAUUUGAUAGCAAAAAAUAUACGGGGCAACCAGAAGUAGCUGCCUCAGUCUUCUAACCUGGCUGAAGAACUUUGGGUUUCAUAUGUUGGGCAGUAGAAUAAAUGCAGAGUGUUUCGGCCACUGUUUGAGAGUUCUGAGAAACUUUAUAAGAGUUGGAAAUUUCUCAUUAUCCAAAAUAAAGGUUUUUUCGGAUAAUGCGAAAGAUUUCCUCAAUCGUGUGUUUCUUUUUUUUUUUUUUUUUAAAUGUUUGCUUAUUUUUGAGAGAGAGGGAUAGAGACAGAGCGUGAGGAGGGGAGGCGUAGAGAGAGAGAAAAACACAGAAUCUGAAGCAGGCUCUCGGUUGUGAGCUGUCAGCAGAGAACCCGAUGCAGGGCUUAAACCCAGGAACCACGAGAUCAUGACCUGAGCUGAAGUCAGACACUUAACCUACUGAGCCACCCAGGUGCCCCUCAACUGUUUGUUUCUAAUCUCGUUUCCUUUCUAUACCAGCUUCCUCAUUCAAGGAUUACCGCUUCUGUUCUGUAGCUGCCGCACAAAGGCCAGAGUGAAUGUAUACAGUGGUGACAUGACAUCACCUACAGCCCUGCAGUUAUAUGUGCAUGGCUGUACCUGAGACAGGUCAGUGCCACCUUGAGAACAGAUGCUGUAUCCUUCCCCCAGAAUAUUUGCGCUGUCCUUUUUUUAAACAUACAAUUUUAGACGAUAAGAUACUCACAGAAGAGUACGCAAAUCAUUGCUCGAUAAAUUUUCGAGCAGUAAAUACCUCCGCAUUAUCACUCCCAGAUCAAGAGAUAGAAUGUUACCAGUCUCCCCAGAAACGACCCCAUGCACCUCCCAGUAACUGCACCCCCACAUUCCCUAGGGGUAACUGCUAACCUGAUUCCUAAUACCAUGGUGUUCCACAUCUUGAAACGUAUGAAAUAUAUAUGGAAUUAUACACAGGUAUACAUACCGCCUUUUUUGUGGCUUCUUACGCACAGCAUGGUUUGAGCCAUUAUGGAGCAGUCUACUUUUCAUUGCUGGGUAGCCAACCACUUUGUAAUAUCUUACAAAUUGUCUAUUCAUCUGCUGUUUGUUGACAGGCAUUUGGGACAGUUCCAGUUUAGGGCUGUGAGGAAUAAUGCUGCCGUAAACGGUUUUGUGCGUGUGUGUGUUGGUGCACAUAUGAAUGCAUUUCUGUUGGAUGUACAUGGAAGGCUGGUUUGCUGGGGCACGGGAUACAUAUGUCCAACUUUAGUAGAUUCUUACAGAGUUUUCCUAAGUGGUUGUAACACUUUCUAUUCCUCCUGUCACUUGAUGAGUGUUUAAGUUUCUCUACAUACGUGUCAGCACUUGGGAUUGUCGGACUUUUUAAUUUAAGCUUUUAUGGUGGGUGUGCAGUGGUGUCUCAUUGUGGUUUUGAUUUGCUCUCGUUGUGCCUUUAUAAUUUUUUUUUGUCACUUUCACUUAAUGUCUUGUAGUCGCUGUUCAAGUUGAUUGUCUAUUUUAAGAUUGGAUUGUCUUUUUCUUAUUGAUUCGUAGGAGGUUUUUAAAACAUUUUUUUUAUUUAUUAAAAAUUUUUAAAAAAUAUUUUUAUUUAUUUUGAGACAGAGAGAGAGAGAGAGAGCAUGAGCAGGGGAGGGGCAGAGAGAGAGGGAGACACAGAAUAUGAAGCAGGUUCCAGGCUCCGAGCUGCCAGCACAGAGCCCGACGCGGGGCUCGAACUCACAGACCGUGAGAUCGUGACCUGAGCUGAAGUCGGAGGCUCAACCGACUGAGCCACUCAGGCGCCCCCCCCNUUUUUUUUUUUUUUUUAAAACAAAUUCGAAUACAAGUGUUUUUCCCAGUCAUAGGUAUUUAAAAUAUCUUUUCCCAUUCUGUGGCUUGCUAUUUAACUCUCUUUUGAUGAAUAGGAGAUCUUGCUUUAUUUAUUUAAAAAAAAAUUUUUUUUAAUGUUUAUUUUUUGAGAGAGAGAGACAGAGCAUGAGCGGGGCAGGGGCAGAGAGAGAGGGAGACACAGAAUCGGAAGCAGGCUCCAGGCUCCGAGCUGUCAGCACAGAGCCCGACUAGGGGGUCAAACCCACAAACCGCGAGAUCAUGACCUGAGCCAAAGUGUGACCCGACUGAGCCAUCCAGGCGCCCCUGGAGAUCUUGCUUUAAAUGUAAUCCAAUCUGUUAACCUCUUCCUUUAUGGUUAUCGUUUUCUGUGGCUGCUGAAGAAAUUUUUGCUCACCCUAAGGUUGUGAAGUUAUUUUUCCACUUUGCAGAAGCCCUGUUGUUAUGCCUUUAUAUGUAGGUUGAAGAUCCAGCCGAGGUUGAUUUUUUAUCUAUGGCAUGAAAAAGAGAUCCAUAUUUAUUUUGUUUUCCAUAUGUAUAUCCGAUUAACCCCUGCCCUGCCUGUUGCCCUGUCCGCUUUCUAGUCCCUUCCCUUGUUCUUUUUGGCUCUUAUACUGAUCCCACCCUGUCUUAAUAUAGCUUAAUAAUAAGUCCAUAUCUGAUAGUGUAUGUCCAGUUAUUUAAGAAUAGCUUGGUUAUUCUUAGACAUUUGCAUUACUGUAUAAAUUUUAAAAUCCUCUUUUGAUGGGAUUUUGAAUUGGGACUGCAUUAAAUCUCUAGCCCAAUUUAGGGAGUAAACUAAUGUCUUUAAAAUGUUGACUCUUUCUAUUCAUUAAUAUGGUAUAUCCCUUGGGGUGCCUGGGUGACAGUCUGUUAAGCGUCUGACUUCGGCUCAGUUCAUGAUCUCUGGGUCUGUGAGUUCGAGCCCCACGUCGGGCUUUGUGCUGACAGCUCAGAGCCUGGAGCCUGUUUCACAUUCUGUGUCUCCCUCUGUCUCUCUGCCCCUCCCCCACUCAUACUCUGUCUCUCAAAAAUGAAUAAAUGUUAAAAAAAUUUUUUUUGAAAUACAGUAUAUCCCCUUUAUUUAUUUAGGGUUUUAUCUCUGUUAGUGUUUUGUAUCUUUCCAUGUGGUAAAGGUAUUGCACCUCUUUCUUCUAUAUACUAUAUGCUGUUGCUAGUAUUUGAAGUCAGCUGAUGCUAUUAUAAGUGAUAUCAUUUUAAACAUGUUUUCUGGUUGUUGGUCUGUGGAUAUACAGAAAUAUAGUUGAUUUUUAUUUGUUGACAUUGAGUCCAGUGACUUUCCUAGGUUCAUUUAUUAAUUCUAAUAGUUCCGUGUAGAUUAUUAUAGCUUUUCCAUGUACACAAUCAAAUUACCUGAGAAACAGUUUUACUUCUUCCUUUGCAGUCUCCCUUUGCUUCCUUUCUUUUUAUUUCUUUUUCUUGCCUGUUGCGUUGGCUUAGACCUCUACUGUAACAAAGAAUAGAAGUGGUCAUGGCAGGCAACCUUGUCUCAUUUCUAAUCUCAGUGGGAAAGUUUUCAAAGUGUGACUAUUAAAUAUUAUGGUUGCUAUGUUUUGUAAAUAUCCUUUAUCAGGUAAGCAUGUUCCUUUACAUUCAGAAUUGGCUAAGAGUAGUUUUGCGAGUAGAUGUUGAAUUUGACUAGAUGCUUACAGAAUAGUUGAAUGGAAUGUCCGGCUCAGCUCUGCACUUCCCUUUUCUUUUGGAUCUUGGUCUCCUGUGUCCUCAUUGGACACCCUAAGGUCAUCCUGUGUCCUUAGGAGCACUCCUUUUUCCAAUUGUAUCUGGCUUUUCUAGUUCUUGAGGGUUGUUCUGUUACAAGGCAGACCCUCUUUGUAGGAAGUGGUACAUGCUAAUUGUACUAUUUUUGUCGCCCAUCAAAUAUGAGUGAAAGUGUAACGAACCCUCAGAAUCCUAUUCAACUGUUAUUUCUUUUACCUAUAUUGCUCCUGCCUGAUGAACUUCAUGAAUAGAUAUUUUUGUUUGUUAAGUCUUGUGGUCUCUAGCACUGUAUGCAUUAUGGAGUAUGCAUAAUGUAUAUAUUAUGGAGUCCUAGAAGAGAUGCACUUGAUAUUUAAAUGCCUGGUUUUAGGGUAAAAAGAUUCUGGUUUUACCUGUUCUUAAAAAAAGAAGAAGAAGAAGAAAGAAAACAACAAAAUCUCAAGGAAUAUAACUGACAUUCUUUAAAAAAAAAAAAAAAAAGCCAAUAGGAGUGCCUUUCUUUUUGGGUCCCCAGGGAACACGCCCUCCUCUUUAUCUCUUAGUCAUUCCCUUCUGUGUAUAACAAUUGGCAAAGCUUCUCUGUCACUCCUACCUCUUCCCCAGCGGUGAUACAGUCUUUAUCAUGUGAAAUCAGAGAAUAACAAGAGUUGCUUCUGCAGUCCCUAUAGUCAGGAGUAUUAGACCCUGUAUGAUCUUAGGACUCAUACUAAUAAAAUGUGAGUCCUCUCACGUGGGAGGAAAGACAUUUGGAACCUGAAGACCUAAAUUUUAAUGCUGGCUCUGUUACUAACCGGCAAGAUGACGUGAGAAUAUAAUCUGAUCUCUCAGACUUUGGGUUCAUCCUUUGAAAAAUUAAGUGGUUGGGAUUGCUCAGGGAACAGGAAAUUUUUUUAUGAAAAGGAUCAAAUAGUAAAUACUUUGAGCUUUGUGGGCCAUAUGGUCUCUCUUGCAGCUACUGGGUCUCUGCUGUUGUAGUGCAAAAGCAGCACAGACAGUAAGUAAACAAAGGUGUUUAUUUAUAAAACUUUAUUUCUGGACACAGAGAUUUGAUUUUAUACAGUUUUCAUGUGUCAUAAAAUAUCAUUCUUCUUUUAACUUUUUUCCCCACCAUCUAAAAGUGUAAAAACAAACAAAAAGAACAAAACAAAUGCAUAAGAAGUAAAACCAUUUUUAGUCCACAGACCAUACAAAAAUAGGCAGCAGGCUAGAUUUGUCCCCUGGACCCCAGCUUGCCGAUCUUGGAACUUGUUGGUUGGUAAAGGCUAUUCCGGAGCUCUGUGUUAGGCCUUGAUCUUCCUAAUAUUUGAAAAAAAAAAUUUUUUUUUUCCUGUCCCAUGCACAUUGUUCAAGAGAGCCUUAUUCCUUUCUCUUAAAUCAAUUCAGAAUAAGAAAAUAAAAUAUUUUAUUUUCCUUUAAUUUCUUCUCUGAGGCUUGCUCUUUAUUUUGUAGAUCUGAGUUUCUGACACUAGUAAUUUCCUCUGUCUGAAGAACUUCUAGCAUUUCCUGAGGGGCAAAUCUGCUAGCGAUAAACUUACUUAUUAUUUAUUUGUCUAAGCAAGUUUAUUUGCCCUUCGUUUGGAAGAAGAAUCUCACUAGAUGUAGAAUUCUAGUUUGAUGUUUUUUCUUUCAAUAUUUUAAAUAUUUCACUUCACUCUCUUGUUUUUGCAUGGUUUCUGUUCAGAAGAUGUCUAUAAUUCUUAUUCUUGUUUUUUUGUAGGUAAGAUUUUUUUUUUCCCUGUGAUGUCUUUUGAGAUCUUUUCUCUGUCUUUGAUUUUUUGCAGUUUAAAUAUGAUGUGCCUUGGUGUUAUAUAUAUAUUUUUAAUUUACAGUGAUUGGAGUUAUCUGAUCUUUCUAGAUUUGUGGUUUGGUGUGUAUCUGACCUUGGAAUGUUCUCAGUUAUUCCUCCAAAUAUUUCUUCUCCUUUCUCUUUCUUCUCCUGGUAUUCUAAUUACACUUAUAUUAUACCUUUUGAUAUCGUAUCACAGUUCCUGGACGUUUUGUCUCAGUUUGUAAAGAUUUAUUCUUCUCUCUCUGUUUUUUCAGUUUGGGGUUUCUAUUUUUUUAAUUUAAAUUUUAAAUAGCUAAUAUGCAGUAGUUUCAGAAGGAGAAUUCAGUGAUUCAUCACUUACAUACCAUACCCAAUGCUCAUCCCAACAAGUGCCCUCCUUAAUACCCAUCACCCAUCUAGCCCAUCUCCUACCCACCUCCCUCCGUCACCUCUCAGUUUGUUCACUUGUGGUUUGUUUCCGUCUCUUCACUCCCCCCCUCCUUCCCGUAUGUUCAUCUGUUUUGUUUCUUAAAUUCCACCUGUAAGUGAAAUCAUCUAUUUGUCUUUCUCUGAUUGAUUUAUUUCGCUUAGCAUAAUACACUCUGCUGAACUCUAUCUACAUCAUUGCAAAUGGCAAGAUUGCAUUGUUUUUGAUGGCUGAGUAAUAUUCCAUUGUAUAUAUAUAUUACCUCUUCUUCAUCUGUUCAUCAGUCAAUGGACAUUUGGCCUCUUUCCAUAGUUUGGCUAUUGUUAAUAAUGCUUCUACAAACAUUGGGGUGCAGGUACCUUUUCAAAUCUGUAUUUUAAAAAAAAUUUUUUUUUAACAUUUAUUUAUUUUCGAGACAGAGAGAGACAGAGCAUGAACAGGGGAGGGGCAGAGAGAGAGGGAGACACAGAAUCUGAAACAGGCUCCGGGCUCUGAGCGGUCAGCACAGAGCCCGACGCGGGGCUCGAACUCACGGACCGUGAGAUCAUGACCUGAGCUGAAGUCGGACGCUUAACCGACCAAGCCACCCAGGCGCCCCUCAAAUCUGUAUUUUUGUAUCCUUUGGGUGAAUACCUGAUACUACAGUUGCCGGAUUGUAGGGCAGUUCUAUUUUUAGUUGUUUGAGGAACCUCCCUACCGUUCUCCAGAGUGGCUGUACCAGUUUGCAUUCCCGCCAACAGUGCAAGAGGGUUCUCCUUUCUUUGCAUCCUUGUCAACACCUGUUGUUUCUUGUGUUGUUAAUUUUAGUCCUUGUGACACGUGUGAGGUGGUAUCUCCUCGUGGUUUUGAUUUGUGUUUCCGUUUGGGGUCUCUAUUGACCUUCAGGCUCACUGAUUCUUUCCUUGUCCAUUUUGAGUUGACCCAACGAGCCCUUAAAAGGCAUUUUUCAUUUGUUACAGUGUUUUUGACUUCUGACAUUUACCUUUUUUUUUUUCUAAAGAGUUUCCAUCUCUCUGCUUUCAUUACUAUCUACAUUGUCUAUUAGAACCCGCAACAUACUUACUCAUAGUUUUAAAAAAUUUCUUGUCUGAUAACUUCAACAUCUGUGUCCUGAAUCUGGUUCUGAUGAUUGGUUGUCCUUUCAGACUGUGUCUUUUCUUGCCUUUUGUGUGCCUUGUAAUUGUUUUGUCAAAAGCCAAACAUGGUAUAUCUGGUAAUGGGAAUUAAGGUAACUGGGCCUUGAGUGUGAGAUUUUAUUUAAAUUGGCCAAGAGUUGAGCUGUGUUUAAUGUUUGCUAUAGCUGUAGCUGCUAGAAACUUCAGAUUCCCCUCGUGUUCUUGUUUUUGUCCCUCUCUUGACUUCAAAUGAGUCUUCAGAGAGUUUGUGUCUUGGAGGUGUUUGAGCUAUAAUCUGUUGUUAUACUGGAGCCCCAUUCACCCGUGUGGUGGUAGGGGAUGAGUAAGGAGGUAUGUGCUGUCAUCUUCCAAUCAAAAGCAAGAGUAGAGUGACUUCAUUCUAGUAAAUACAGCAACACGUCCUCUAUUGCAGCAGGAGGGAAGACAAAGAACAUGGUGGGUUAGGUGAGGGUGCCCGAAGCUGAGAGAUUUGCCUUCUGCUGGCUUCCAUUUCUUCAAUGAAUUUUGAAGUGAGCCCAUCAACAGCGUGUGCAGCUUGAACAAAGAUAAGGUAUGGGAUGGCCACUUGAGACAAACAGAGAGCAAACUUGGUAGGAAAACAUCUAGAUUUGAUGGGCAGUGUUGAUGAAAUUUAAAGCUUGUGCUCGUGCAUUUAAAAUGCAGCCAGUCGGUCUGGCUGUGUGAUUUCUUUCUCAUUCCCGCCACAAAGAGCAUACCUGCUUGGGUGUGAGCUUGGGUCUUCAGAUAUUAUAUGGAUAUUGUGUGGUGGAUAUUCUGGUUCCGUCAACGUUGGAGUUUUGCCUGGAAAUCUGCCACAGAAAGAGCAUAGUGAGGCAGUUAAGGGUAUUUGCAAGGGUGUGACUGUGAGUGGCUAAAAUGAAAGGACCAGUGAGAGAAAAACGUGAAGGCAGAGCGAGGAGGAGGAGUAAAAGGCUUGUGAGUCCCAUGGACUGAAUGUCUAAAUAAGCUUGAAAAAUGUGUGCAGUGAAUGUAGAGUAAGUGAGCUGGAAAGAACUGGUAAGUGAACUGGGGUGUGAGGUGGUCCAGUCACACUGAUGAUGGGGUUCAGCAUGUGGCCGUGGGAGACGGUGGCCGAGGAAGAGGGUUGUAGGAAGAGGGUUCAGGUGGGGAAAUAGAAGGAUGGAGGAACCGGCUUUCCAGAUAGGUCUUUGAUUCUGAUGUUCACGUCACUGAGAUUGAUGAAGGAGUGAAGGAUGGAGAAGAAAACCUCUGAGAACUAGAAGCAGGAGUCCUCGGGAAAUGGGAAGGCUUAACAGGAGGGAGGCAGGAUACAGUAGUGAGAUUGGGUAGAAAGUGGCACAGCUAGAUGGUCUGAGUGUCACGAGAGCAGGGAUUUGUGUAGGAAGACAGGAGGGAAAUCACUUGAAGCAGCAAUGUGGAGCCGGGACGAUGCUUACCUUACUUCCUGGUUCGAGAUACGUAGGGUGAGAACAACUGGGCUCCAGGGGAGGGGACGUCCUUGGGGGAAGCCAGGUUUCCAUGAAGGUCACUGAAGGUCAAAGUUCAAAGACAAAUUAGAAGGACAUAGUGGGCAUACUGUUUAUAGAAAAAGAGUUAGAAAGGCAGGGAGGGUGGAUGGGGAGUUGGCAGGGUCUGGGGGUGUCCAGAGCAGUGUGGGGGCCAGAGCCCUGGUGAGAGAGGAUGCCUGGGUGGACCUGAACUUUGAGCAGUGAUUGCAGCAAUAGGACCGUGAGCCACAUCACAAGGCCAAGCACAUCCUAUUAUAUGAAAAACUUUCUGCUUCUCCCUCCCAGCUUAAUUUUUUGGGACUUUUGCUUAAUAUAAGGAAUGUGAAAAUAUUUAUCUUUAUAAGCAGCUUGAACAAAAAUUUGUUUAGGCUGUAAGGCAGCUGUGGCAACUUAAAGAGGAUAAUAUUUAUUUUGUAUGUCUUAAGGUUGGGUUGGUAGGGGGAAGUCAGCUUCACUGAUGCACUAGGAAGUAGAAGGUAGGAACCACAAAUCAGUUGAGGACCUACUAAGUACCAGUUGAACUAUGUACCAGAAGUACCUACUACUAGGUGCUUCCUAUGCGAUAUAUAGGUGCUAACUACUUUAUAUUUAAAUAUAUACUUAAAUUUCGUAUAUUCACAAAAUUGUGUCUUAAAUUCUUUCUAUAGGUGAUGUCACUGGAGACCACGUCGGAAAGUGUGGGCACUGGAAUCGGUCCUGGGUUUGGAUUUUAGUUUCUUGGUUGACAAGCUAUUUUACUUUUGGCAACUUUGGGCCUCAGUUUUCUCAUCUGUAGAGUGGGGAUAAUAACAGCCACCUGUUAAGAGUUCCUGUGGCGCAUUGCUCGGGUGAUUCUAAGGAGCAGACAAGGCUGAGAACCCCUGAUACCGGUGAUCAGCAUUUACUCCGUUUUAUAGAUGAGGAGACCAAGGCUCAGAGAGGCUAAGUAAGCAUAGCACUAAGUUGUUUGUGGCCACAUAGCACUAAGUGGCAUGGCCAGGAUUGGGAGCCUGUUCUUUGACUCCAGGACCCUUGCUCUUUUCAGUGCAGUCUCUUCCUAAAUACAAGGGAGUCUGAAGGAGCCCCACCUCCACGUGGCUGCCCAGACAGUAGGCAGCAUGGGAUGGGGUGAAGGGGUUAGGUGAAGAGAAGGCAGGCUCCAUGGAAUCUAGGGCAGUGGUUUCCAGACCUGACUGGGCUUUCACAUCACCUGGGGACUGUUUAAAUGAUAAAUCUCCAGGGGCCACCGUAGGCCCACCAGAUCAGAAUUUCUGACACCUGGGACCCAGGAACAUGGCUCUUUAGAGUCAAGCCCAGGUGCUUCUGAGGCUGCUGGUCUGGUUCAAUUCCUUGGACCAGCUUUCGGGAACCAUCAAAUGCUAACCAGAGUCCUGAGAUGAUCAAGCGAUUAUAUCCUGGGUGCCCGGCAUUGCCACCAAAAUUGGCCCCUAAGGAUUGAGCUCUCGCAUCUUGCUUUAAGAUCUUUGGCGUCUCUCGCUCUGUCACUGAGCAGCUAGACUUUGAGUUCAUCUGUAUAGGAAGUGUCACGUUGGCAGACCACUAUAACAGAAAGAAGUAUUUGUUCUUCAGAACCGUUGUUCUUUCUUCUCCCCCCUGGAGGUUCCUGCCCUCUCAGUCAGAUUAGAGCUAUAUAAACAAGCUUGUACUACUGAGCUAGCACACUUCUUGUAAAGUUUUUUUCUCCUCAAAGUGCUUACUUAACAUUGCUGAUGUCAGAAAAAAAAAAUCCAUUGGGUUUUAAUGGGCCGAAGCAAACAGUGUGAGGUUGAUACAAUAGGAGAAGAGGAAAUAACAUCAACAGAAAUUCUUAUUUGGUAGCACAGAUAUUCAGACUGUUACAGUCAGGCUUUGAUUACCUCUCUUGCAAGAUAUUUCCCUGAAUAGGGUUUUGAGGGCUAGACACAAAGAAGGGCAGGCAGGAUGUUUAAGGAUUUUAGCUUCAUGUGACAGUGAUCUCGGUGGCAUUGGAGUGUCACUGCAGUGGUCUGCCUCUUAGGUGUACGUCAGGAUCACCCGAGAAGCUUGUUAAAUAGCUGAUGGCUCCAUCUCAGAAUCCCUGAGGUGGGGAAAGCGUUUCUCCAAUGAUUCUGAUGCUGAUGGCCUGGGAAUUUCACGUGGCCAAAUAGUGGCUGGAAACCAGACUGCUGGUCAGUUGCUGCGUUCAUUCCGCGCUAGGGAAUUUGCAUGCCCUAUUUGAUUUCCUCUUCAAAAGCAACUCUGCAAAGUAGAGGACUCUCACCUUCCAGGUGAAGAGCUGGAAGGUGGGGGAAGGUGGGGGGAGGUACUCAAUUGUGAAGGCAGUCUUGGUGUGGCCAGAGCUGAGAUGCUAUUUCCUGUCUGACUUCAAAGCCACUUCCUUUUCCACAUCAUGGAGGUCUUUCUACCUGCUGGGCUCAGCAUUGUUAUCUGCUGGACCCUAGUCUUGGCUGCUCCAGAGAGGCUGGCAUUACAAAGGAAAACAGCUGGCAUUUGUUGUAACUGCAAGCUACAACUGAAAUAGAAGUUUGGAGUAAAUUGCAGUCCCGACUUGCAGAAGAUUUACUAAUCAGUUUGAGUCAUAGAUACUCAAUUGUUCUGUUAUUGACAAGGUGUCUCCUCACUAUACUUUCCAUCCUCCCACAUGUUCCUUCUUAUCUAAAUUGCUCAUGGAUUCCAAAAGUGGAUUCCUGAGUUCAGGGCUGGCCCAUAUCAAUAAAUUCUAGGGAAAAGUGUGAUUCUGUCCGUAGGUCUUUGUCAAGAAAGAGCCUUCUUUGUGGGGCAGUUUCAGUGGCUUGUUAUCUGGAUAGCUAUUCCAGAAGGAGUGCGCUGCAUCUUGGUAGAAUCUUAUCAAUUCCAUCAUUCAUUUAAAAAUAUCUGAGUACCUACAAGGUGUGCCACACCUUGUUCUAGGUGCAGGAUGAACCCCACCAACAAAGACUCUGCCCAAGCAGAACUGGCUUUAGUAGAGGAGAUUCCUGAUAAACAAGUAAACAAAGAGAGGUGCAAAGCCCUGUUAUUUCUCACUCCACGUUUGUCCCAUUUAAUCUCCUUGAGAUCAUAUCAGUCCUCAUGGUUUUUUUUUUUUUUUUCUUUUGGGUGCCUACAGCUUCUGGGGCUUCACGUGGCCAUGCUUGAUGCCUGUGUUGUCCCCUAGGCUGGAAUGGCCUCUUCUGCUUCCCCCAGACUCCUCUUCAUCCUUCGCUGUCAUCUCAGUUGCCAGCUUCUGCCCUGCGCCGGCAUAACCAAAUACCCACACAUUACGACGUCCUGUUUCUGUGGACAUGUCUGUCACUCUUCCUGGACUCUCAACACUUUAAUGAGAUCAUCUGUGUCUGAUUUAUCUUUAUAUCUCCAGGGCCUACCAUAUCUUCAUAUCUCCAGCCCACCUUGCGAGUGGAUGCUCAGGGCGGUUGCUCCAAGAAGAAAUGUUGAGGCCCACUGCCCCUGGUGGUGGGUGGUGGUAUUACAGAAAUCGCUUCAAGGUUGGGGAUGCUGAGUCUGGGAGAGGAUGCUUCACUCCAGCAGUUUAGUGAUUCCUUGACAAGCUCAGCAUGAGUGAUGCCAUAAAUGGAGGACAUGGGCUAGGAUAAAGAGAGGUGGUACGGAACAUUCUGAUGAGCAUUUGAAGGAAAGUUUUGAGGUUCCAGGGCAGAGCUGGAAGGAACACUGGAGAUGUGGGGUUUUACAGCUAUUGUCCACUUGGGGUCCGGGGAAGUUGUGACUUGACCUGGUUCUGACAGCUAGUCAAUUGCACACAAGGUAGGAGACCCAGGCCACCCAGUUCAGAAGGCUUUCCGCUAUGCUGGGACUAUAGUGACAGAUAAGGAAACACAGGCACAGGGAGGUGAAGUAACUUGUUCCAGAUCACGCUGCUUGGAAGUGAUGCAAACUAAUUUUGGAUGUGGAUCUGUCUGAUAACAGACUCCAGCUUGUAACCACUGUGCUACCUGUCUGUCUCUUCUCGGAGUUUUCAAAAAUCAAGCCCUGAACACGUUUUUAGCUUCUCCCUUGGUUAGCUGUAAGCCAUUUUAGGAAAAGAAUAUCAUUAACGUGUUUCCUUUCUACUGAAAUGUAGUUUUGUGUUUCUUUCUACUGAAAUGUAGUUUUGUGUAGUUUUGUAGUUUUGUGAAAUGUAGUUUUGUACUGAAAAACAUUCACAUUCUUUAAAUAUUAAAAUAAAAGGCCCUGAAUUGUUUACUGUGUGCAUAUAUACAUGUAGCAUAAAUAAGAUGAAGUUUUUGGUUUUCACUACCAUGAAAUUUAAACUAUUCCUAUUUCAUUUCUAUCAUAUUUCAUUUAAAAAUAAAUAUUUUAGGGGUGCUUAGGUGGCUCAGUUGGUUAAGUGUCUGCUUGAUUUCAGCUCAGGUGAUGAUCUCAUGUUUUGUGGGUUCUAGCCCCAUGUCGGGCUCUGUGCUGACAGUGCGGAGCCUGCUUGGGAUUCUCUCCCUUCCUCUUCUCUCUGCCCCUCCCCUGCUCAUGCUGUCUCAUUCUCUCUCUCAAAAAAUAAAUAAGUAAACUUAAAAAACUAAUAAAUAUUUCAUAUAUUGUAAUGAAUGAGAAUCUAGCCCUUUAAUGUCACGAGCCCUAGCUUCCUAGUCAAUGAAUGUAAUUAGAACAUCCUUACCUGUGUAGGUUUUGCAUCCCAUUUGUCUAACAUCUGUUGACGCAUGGGCUUGAAAGUGGUUAUAUCAUUAUUUUAGCAAUGAUUCUUUCUAGACACAGAAAAGUUGAAUGACAUUGAGCUGCCAGAGGAACCAAAAAUAGAAGUUUUUCUACUAUAUACUAGAUUCACUGAAAUUCCUAAUAGGGAGACUUGUCUGCCUGCACUUGGUAGUCUAAAGUCUUAGUCCUGGACCAUCAGCCUAUUAUAACACUAGAAAUGUUUCUGUGCGUGCGUGUGUGUGCGUGCGUGUGUGUGUGUGUGUGUGUGUGUGUGUGUGUUGGGGGAAUUGGCCAGGAAGAGGCGAAGGCAGGGCUAACAGGAUUGUUUUUAGGUCAUUCCCAACCUUGUUGUUAUAACAACAAGGGAGAUAAUAUGGUCAUUAUUAUGGUGGGAGAUAAUAUGGUCAUUAAAGUCAAGUGUUCAUUUAAAAAUAAAGCCAGAGACCCAAAAUGCCUCUGUUGCAUAGAUAAAUGAGCAUACAUAAAUGGACUCAGUUUUUGUUUUUCAUGCUCUGUCGUAUUCUGUGUUGAGGCAAAGGAGUAGGCAAAUAAGUAGCUGUUCAUUAAAAAUAAAACAGCGUGUUAUUCAUUUAACUUUAAAAGCCACUGAUUGGAAUUAAUAAUUAGCUUUUCCAUGUAACACUAUAUUCACAGAAACCCUGAUAUUACAGUACAUAGAGGUAAGAGCACGUUCUUUAUCUCUUCAUGUAAUCUAACUUUUAAAAUGCGUCUUAAUUCACAAAUGACAAAGAAAGCACGCAACAUUCAAACGGUAUACUUUGGGCAUUUAAAUUCUUAGCACAAAUGACAAAUUCCUAUCUCUUCCCCAUCUUCUGCCCAAAUUUGUUUUUAUGGAAUGACCUUUGGUACCAACUUAUUUUAUAAUAAAAUAUUUCCUGAGCUUUCAUUUUAAAUUGAAAUGGCCUUUUCUGUCAAGUGUGGUAUUUGUAAAAGUUUCUUUGAUGAAAAGCCUAUGGAUUUUGUGCAAAUAACCCAGGCAGGCUCUUAGCUUAGAGAUAACAUUUGUAUAGGACUUUUAUGGCUUUAUAUGAUACCUUUACACUCAGUUUAUUAGACCCUUACCUGUGAAUACUCAGUAGAAUUCACAUUUUACUGAUGAGAGCAGUGUAGAGAGAGGUGCCUUGGUGUGGUUCUGGGUACACAGCAGGCAUUCAACAUUUUGUUUUAAAAGGAAGUUAACAAAGAGAACCCAAUAGGUUAUUUAACUUGUGCGAAGUCACACAGCAAAUAUAGUGUGAUACCAAGAACUGAACUUCUUUACCCAAAAAUUCCAUAUGUUGUCACUGUUAUCUUUUGAGGCUUUUCAAAAAGGUCAAAUUAAAUAUUCAUUCUACUUAAUUGAGGUAAAAUUCACACAACCUAAAAUUAACGACUUCGAAGCGUACAUUUCAGCAGCAUUUAAUACAUUCACAAUGGUCUGCAUCCAUCGCCUUUAUCUAGUUCCAAAAUGCUUCGUUAUCUCAGAGGGGAUCCCAAGUCCAUUAAGCAGUGGCCCCAUUCCAUCCUCUGCCCAGCUGUUGGAAACUACCUGUCUGCUUCCUGUCUCGAUAGAUUUACCUAUUUUAGAUAUUUAACAUAAAUGGAAUCCUACAAUGUGUGACUGCCUUCGUCUGUUCAGGCUGCUAUGACAGAAUAUCCUAGAUUGGCUGGCUUAUAAACAACAGAAAUUUAUUUCUCACAGUUCUGGAGAUCAAGGCUUUAAAAGAUUUGGUGUGUGGUGAGAGUCUGUUUCCUGGUUCAUGGAUGACUUUAUUCUUGCCGUGUCCUUAUAUGGUGGGAGGGAGCUCUCUGGGCGUCUUUUUUUUUUUUUUUUUUUUUUUAAAUUUUUUUUUUUCAACGUUUAUUUAUUUUUGGGACAGAGAGAGACAGAGCAUGAACGGGGGAGGGGCAGAGAGAGAGGGAGACACAGAAUCGAAACGGGCUCCAGGCUCUGAGCCAUCAGCCCAGAGCCUGACGCGGGGCUCGAACUCACGGACCGCGAGAUCGUGACCUGGCUGAAGUCGGACGCUUAACCGACUGCGCCACCCAGGCGCCCCUGGGCGUCUUUUUUAUAAGGGCACUAAUCAGCUCCCAAAUGCCCUACCUCCUAAUACCAUCAAGCCAGGGGUUAGGAUUUCAACAUAUGGAUUUUGUUGGAACAUAAACGUCCAGUCCAUUGCAGUGACCUUUGUGUUUGGCUUCUUUCACUAAGCAUAAUGUUUUCAAGACCAAUCUGUGUUGUAGCAUGUAUCAGCACUUUAUUACUUUUUACGGAUGAACUUCAUUCCAUUGUAGGGAGAGACGAUAUUUGGUUUAUCCAUCAAUGGAUGGACACUGAGCUGUUUCCAUUUUUUGGCUAUUGUGAAUAGUGCUACUGGGAACAUUUAUGUUCAAAUAUUUGUUGGAAUACUUGUUUUCAGUUCUUUGGGAGUAUAGUUGAAUUUUCAAGUUACAUGGUAAUUCUAUGUUUAACUUUUGAGGAACCACCAAACUGUUUUUUCAUAGCAACUGAACCAUUUUACAUUCCUAUCAACAAGGUACAAGUGUUCAGAUUUCCCCACAUCCUUUGCCACACUUGUUAUUUGAGGUUUUUCUCUUUUAGUAUGACCGUCCUAGUGGGUAUGAAGUGGUCUUUCCUUGUGGUUUUGAUCUGCAUUUCCCUAGUAAAAUAUUCAGAUUUGAGUGCAUAGAAUUAAGCAAGAAGUGAGCUUUGAUAAGACAAAAUCAACAUCACAAUGAUUGGCUUCAUCUGUCCUCAGGAGAUUAUUUAAGACGGCAUAAGCUCACCUCUAGGGUACAUGAUUCUGGGCUGAAAAUAAAGAACAUGUUGCUUUGGGAUUAGGAGAAUGUAUGUGGAUCAAGACCCCAGUUAUCCCCUAGAUACUUUUUUAAGAUACUGCUUAAAUUAAUGUGGAAAAAUGAGAAAUUUAUCAUGUUUUAUUUUCAUAUCACCUGCCAAAAGUACUUCUUUGCAUGGCAGGACUUUCUUUGUGUAAUUUUUUCAUGUCUUAACGGUCUAUUCAUUUAUUUUUGCAGUGUGAGUGAAGACAUCCGGGAUGGCUCAGGGAUCUGGGGAUCAAAGAGCAGUGGGGAUUGCUGACCCAGAGGACAGUUCUCC
rnacentral:lncRNA from 1 species